UGAAUUCAAAACAACCAUGAAUCAUAUUUGAACCAUUGUUAUGAACUAAAAGAAACAUCAAAUAAUUAAUAAAGAUAUCUCUCGAUAUAUAUCAUCACUUGUAUACAUCAAUGAGAAAGCAUCAUCAUCCACGACAUGUUUGCCAAAGAAAAAAAAGCCUGCUAGCUAGUAAUGUAUUUGCUACUGGUAGACAAUUAAACGUUCAAUCAGCAUGUACAUAUGCCCAAGAAAACAACAUCAACGAAGUGAUCGGCUGCCAAGUAGCAACAAGAUCAGUGCACCAGUUCCAUAUUGACUGGGAAAAACUCCCAAAAAAUAUCCCUUCAUCACCUGAACCAAGCCCCAUGUUUAAUCCUUGGGCAGAAACACGUGAGGUUACAUUAUGUUCCUGAAAAUAGUAGUGACAAGCAGCUUAGCAUUUUGAUGUAAAACAUGAACAUUUCGUAUGAAUUUUGGCAGCAUAACAUAUGUAAAUUAAACAAUAUGGCUAUAAGAAAAUAGGGUAUGCCAAAUUAAUCAAAAUCAAACACAAAUGAGAUAACAACAACAACAACACACACACACACGUGCUAACAUCGCACAUCGCACUUGUAUCAUCUAUUAUCUUAGGCAAACAAAAUGCAAAAAAUCAUCAAUAUCCUAUUCAUUAGCAACCAUUAGGAUGAUUUAAAGGAUAUUAGUUGCUACAUGAAGUCCAAGAGAGAUCAAUAUUUUGUGAUGCAACACUAUAUGAAAAGAAAUGACAAAUAUAUUAACCAAAAGCUUCCUCUAAUUAUAAAUACUAAUCAGCUACCCUUGCAGGCACACAUGCUAGCACAUGGAAAUGAGGAAACAGAUCUGAAUAAAUAGCAUGUAUUCAUCCGUAGAUGCAAAAAAGGUGAAGCUUAUCCAUAUAUCCGCCAAAGAUGAAGUAGGAAUAAGAUAACUGUGCAUCCAUCAACAAAAUUAUGCACUCAAUAACAAAAUUGGCCGACAAAACCAAGCAAAUAUUAACACCUAACGCCAAUGGUCCCUAUGUCGGGUUGUCCCUACUUAAAUUUUCAUUCAAUUGAUCAAAGUGAAUCUUUCGAAUGUGACCACAUAAGAAAACCAUUGGCACUGCACAUGACAAAGAAUGAGAAAAAUAAGCUUACAAUUUAUGGUGUCCGGUCCAUUUGGGCCAACCUAAUGCCCUGCUUCAAAGGAAAGAAAUCAAAAACACAACUUCGAAAUGAUGAAGUCAUGUGCUUGUAUCUGCUAUUCAGCUUGUUCUCCUCAACUUCAAGUGCUGAAAAAUCCACAAAAAGGGAUCAAUCCUUUUGAAUGCGUGAGAAAAAAAUGAACAUUAGAUGGUUCUAACAUAAUAAAUUGAGGCCACUGAUCUAAGAAAAAGGAAGAAAAAACUAUAAGGCACAGAGGAUGCGUGCAUUCUCAUUGCUUGAUGUUGUGAAAAAAGUCAAUACAAACUUUGGAUCUCAGAUUCUUGUGACCCACUGAUGAGGACAUCAAUACAAUUGUUACACCCACAGCCCCUGCUGCUAUAAAUACUGGACCAAUUACUAGAGCUCGCGCACGCCAACUAAAUUACCAGGUACUUUCAUUUCUUGGUAAUGAUUCUAAUGUUCAUGAGAAUAUGAUGCUGCCUAAAUUGGAUACAUUUGUUUUGCUUACAAAUGAAGGGCCUAGCUUGGAGAAGGAUGAACAUUGGAUUAAGAACAAGCAUGGAGAUGAUGGCAUGCGCAAGGGGAACAAGAACGGAGUUACAAGUGAUGAUUUCAGGACUUUGAAGCCACCAUAAUGGGUGCAUGAAGCCUUGGACGAAAUAUACAAGAUGGCACUUCAUAAAUUUCGUCCCGAGGCUAUUAUAGGUGCUGCGUCACCUUAUUAUUGGGCCAGGCCCAUGUAAUUUCGAAAUACAUAAGUAUAGGCUAUUUUUAGAGUCCGUAUGUGUGGGGAAACAAGAGAUAGGGUUGAUUUCGGACCCUUCCACCAAGGGUCACGAAAUUCCCCCCUCUUCCUCCAUAUAUACAGCCCUUAGGGCAUCGUUUAGACUUUGGGUUUUGUUUAGAUUAAAGUUCGCCAUAGCUGCAACUUCGCGUACUUCGUUUGUGUUCAACGACCAGACAAAGGCGUCACAGAACCCCACCUUGAUCAAUAAAGCUUUUCAUCUUAUAUUCGCAAUAUCCAGAUUGCAAUCUUAGUUUCUUGCUUGUUCUUCGUUUGCUCGCAGGAAACAGACCCUCGUGGUCAGGUUGAUCGUGCUCCAGCGUGGUCAAUAACCUCUCGGAGUUGGUUUAGCGAUUGCUAAGGCGCGACGUCCUCGCACGUUCGUAGUCGGAUCGUCAAAGUCGACUUCCACCAAAGCGAUAUCCAUCAUCUCAUCGAAAGACGGGACACCUUUGCCUCUAUCAAGUGGUAUCAGAUUUCCAGAUUGCUCGGUGAGAUUUUACAGUUUUUCGUAGUUUAGAUCGAGUCUGUUCUUCAUACCUACAGUCCACGAAAAAGCCACAAAAAGAAUUAGGGUUAGUUCAUCAUAUCCGAACCAAUCUGAGCCUUUGCAUAAUCUUUUUAGGGUUUUGCUUUGUUGAAUUUGCGGUUGCAUCGUCGUGUCUAGUUGCUGGUCUUAGAGUCUAGUCUUUUAGAGUUUCGAGUUCUGGUCAUAAGUUGUCACGCCGCCGCCGCACCAUCAUCAUCGCCCCUGCCAUCUACCACCAUAUAUCCACCACCAAUCCGAGUUCUUGUCAUAUUAGGUUUGUUUUCGAGAUCCAUCUAGAUUCCGAUUCGUGUUUCCUUGCCGGAGUAGGUUUUGGGGAAAAAAAAGAGUCCGGAAACCACCCUCCGUUUAGGCCCAAAAUUUUUCGAAAACGCACUUGUCAAAAUUUUUCUGGCUAUCCUAUUUUUAGGUGUUUCUAAGCGUAUUGAGACAGUCGCCGUUAUAGAAAGUUUUUUUUGACCCGUUUCCAGUUUUUGGGUAAGGGCAGUCGAAAAAAAAAUUGGUCGAAUUUCGUGCACAUCCUGUCAGUUUGACCUAGGAAGAGUUUUGAGACACUCGCCAUUAUAGUGAUUUUUCGCAAAAAAAACAGCGCAAAAAAUAAAAACAGCGCAAAAAAAAGAGCGAAAAAAAAUCCAGAGUGUGCUUUUCCCUUGUUUACGUGCCGCGCCGUGAUUUUGUCGGUGUUCUAGGCUCGCGUCUCUAGCACAGUCUAGCCUAGGACCAGCACAGUACCGUCGUUGAGCGUUUAUUUAACUUUGCAUCUCUGAAUUGAUUAUUGCUGACCCUUUUUUGCUACUGAUAGAGGCAAAGGUGUCCCGUCUUUCGAUGAGAUGAUGGAUAUCGCUUUGGUGGAAGUCGACUUUGACGAUCCGACUACGAACGUGCGAGGACGUCGCGCCUUAGCAAUCGCUAAACCAACUCCGAGAGGUUAUUGACCACGCCGGAGCACGAUCAACCUGACCACGAGGGUCUGUUUCCUGCGAGCAAACGAAGAACAAGCAAGAAACUAAGAUUGCAAUCUGGAUAUUGCGAAUAUAAGAUGAAAGCUUUAUUGAUCAAGGUGGGGUUCUGUGACGCCUUUGUCUAGUCGUUGAACACAAACGAAGUACGCGAAGUUGCAGCUAUGGCGAACUUUUAAUCUAAACAAAACCCCAAAGUCUAAACGAUGCCCUAAGGGCUGUAUAUAUGGAGGAAGAGGGGGGAAUUUCGUGGCCCUUGGUGGAGGGGUCCGAAAUCAACCCUAUCUCUUGUUUCCCCACACAUACGGACUCUAAAAAUAGCCUAUACUUAUGUAUUUCGAAAUUACAUGGGCCUGGCCCAAUAAUAAGGUGACGCAGCACCUAAAAUAGCCUCGGGACAAAAUUUAUGAAGUGGCAUCUUGUAUAUUUCGUCCAAGGCUUCAUGCACCCAUUAUGGUGGCUUCAAAGUCCUGAAAUCAUCACUUGUAACUCCAUUCUUGUUCUUGCUCCAAUGUUCAUCCUUCUCCAAGCUAGGCCCUUCAUUUGUAAGCAAAACAAAUGUAUCCAAUUUAGGCAGCAUCAUAUUCUCAUGAACAUUAGAAUCAUUACCAAGAAACGAAAGUACCUGGUAAUUUAGUUGGCGUGCACGAGCUCUAGUAAUUGGUCCAGUAUGUAUAGCAGCAGGGGCUGUGGGUGUAACAAUUGUAUUGAUGUCCUCAUCAUCCUCCCCUUCUUGAAAUGAAGUCGUCCUCGACGGAAGUUCAUCUUCCUUACCCAAAUAAGGCUUCAAAUCUGCAAUGUUAAAUGUGGGACUAACCCCAAAAUCUGCAGGCAGCUCAAGUUUAUAUGCAUUAUCAUUUAUUUUCUCUAACACCUUAAAGGGACCAUCAGCACGUGGCAUUAACUUUGAUUUGCGCAAAUCAGGAAAUCUAUCCUUACGCAAAUGUAACCAAACAAGAUCUCCAGGUGCAAACACAACAUGUUUUCUACCCUUAUCUCCAGCAAGUUUAUAUUUAGCAUUCAUGCGCUCAAUGUUUUCCUUAGUUAACUCAUGCAUUUUUAAAAUCAAUUCAGCACGUUGUUUAGCAUCAAAAUUAACCUUCUCCGAAGAUGGAAGAGGCAACAAAUCAAUAGGUGCACGAGGUAGGAAACCAUACACAACUUCAAAAGGGCACAUCUCAGUAGUAGAAUGCAAUGAACGAUUAUAAGCAAAUUCAAUAUGAGGCAAGCAUUCCUCCCACAUUUUCUUAUUAUUCUUCAAAACAGCCCUAAGCAUAGUAGACAACGUUCUAUUGACUACUUCAGUUUGUCCAUCAGUUUGGGGGUGACAAGUAGUACUAAAAAGCAGUUUAGUCCCCAACUUAGCCCAUAAACAUCUCCAAAAGUGGCUAAGAAAUUUAGUAUCACGAUCUGAAACAAUAGUAUUUGGCACACCAUGCAAGCGAAUAAUUUCACGAAAGAACAAAUCAGCAACAUUAACAGCAUCAUCGCUUUUAUGACAUGGUAUAAAGUUUGCCAUUUUCGUGAAUCUAUCCACGACAACAAAUAUGCUAUCCCUCCCCUUCUUUGUUCGAGGUAAACCUAAAACAAAGUCCAUAGAUAUAUCCUCCCAAGGAACACUAGGUACAGACAAAGGCAUAUAUAAACCAUGAGGAUUGAGUCGUGACUUAGCUUUUUGACAUGUAGUGCAUCGAGCAAUAAAACGCUCAACAUCCCGUCUCAUCUUUGGCCAAAAGAAAUGUGUAGCAAGUACGUCCUCCGUCUUCUUCACGCCAAAGUGUCCCAUUAAUCCUCCUCCAUGCGCCUCCCGCAACAACAAAAGACGAACGGAGCUAGCUGGAAUGCAUAGCUUGUUAGCACGAAACACAAAUCCAUCGUUAACGACGAACUUGUUCCACAUUCUUCCUUCUUUACAAUUCUGCAUUACAUCUUUAAAAUCAGCAUCAUGCACAUAUUGAUCUUUGAUGGUCUCCAAACCCAAUAUUUUGAAGUCAAGUUGUGAAAGCAUAGUAUAGCGGCGAGACAAUGCAUCAGCAAUAACAUUUUCUUUUCCCUUCUUGUGUUUAAUGACAUAAGGAAAAGUCUCAAUGAAUUCAACCCAUUUAGCAUGUCUACGAUUCAGUUUAGCUUGACUUUUAAUAUGUUUCAAAGAUUCAUGAUCAGAAUGUAUAACAAAUUCUUUGGGCCAUAAAUAAUAUUGCCAUGUUUCUAAAGUCCGAACAAGAGCAUAUAAUUCUUUAUCAUAAGUAGAAUAAUUCAGACUAGGCCCACUCAAUUUUUCAGAAAAGUAUGCAACAGGUUUGCCAUCUUGUAAUAACACACCGCCUAAUCCAAUUCCACUAGCAUCACAUUCAAGCUCAAAAGUCUUAUUAAAAUCAGGAAGUUGGAGUAAAGGAGCAUGUGUCAACUUAUCUUUCAAUACCGUGAAGGCUUCUUCCUGUGCGGUACCCCAAACAAAAGGCACAUACUUCUUUGUAAGCUCGUUGAGAGGUGCAGCAAUGGUGCUGAAAUCUCUAACAAAACGCCUAUAGAAUCCAGCGAGGCCAAGAAAACUCCUCACUUGUGUGACCGUUUUGGGCUGCGGCCAACUCUCAAUAGCUUCAAUCUUGGCUUUGUCAACUUCAAUUCCCUGUGGAGUAACAACAUAGCCAAGAAAAGAUACUCGGUCGGUGCAAAAGGUGCACUUCCCAAGGUUACCAAACAAACGUGCAUCACGUAGAGCAAUAAAAACAGCACGUAAAUGUUCCAAAUGUUCUUCCAAAGAUCUGCUAUAAAUCAGUAUAUCAUCAAAAUAGACUACCACAAAUCGUCCAAUGAAAGCACGUAAAACUUCGUUCAUUAGUCUCAUGAAAGUACUAGGCGCAUUAGUUAACCCAAAAGGCAUGACUAACCACUCAUAUAAUCCAAACUUAGUUUUAAAUGCUGUUUUCCAUUCAUCUCCCAAUUUCAUACGAAUUUGAUGGUAUCCACUACGCAAAUCAACUUUGGAGAAUAUUGUAGAGCCACUCAAUUCAUCAAGCAUAUAAUCUAGCCUAGGAAUAGGAUGACGAUAACGAAUAGUAAUAUUAUUAAUACCUCUACAAUCAACACACAUACGUGAUGUACCAUCCUUUUUCGGCACUAGAAUAAUAGGAACAGCACAAGGACUAAGGGAUUCGCGUAUAUAACCUUUGUCGAGAAGCUCUUGUACUUGACGCAUAAUCUCCUUCGUCUCCUCUGGAUUGGUACGGUAUGGUGCACGGUUUGGCAGUGAAGCACCGGGAAUUAAGUCAAUCUGAUGCUCAAUCCCUCGAAUAGGCGGUAAUCCCGGUGGCACGUCUUGUGGAAAGACGUCAGCGAACUCCUGCAAAAUGUUAGUGACAGCAGGAGGCAAAGAGGAAGGCACGUCCUGGAAUGAAAAUAAUGCCUCUUUGCACACAAAAGCAUAGCAAACAGAUUUGCUGAAAUCUAGCUCAUCAAUAUCAGAUUUGGUGGCAAAUAAACAUGCACUUUUCAAUUUAAUUUCAGAAGCAACACUAGAUGGUUUAUUAUUAGGCUUCAUUUGUUGCUCACAUUCUUUUGCCACAAUCUGAUUUUCACUCUUAUUCGUCUCCUGUUUUGCUUUAUUAGCUCUAUUAAUAUCAUCUUUCAAAAUGGAAUCAGGAGUCAUAGGAAGCAAAGUAAUAUUUUUAUCCUUAUGAACAAGAGUAUAGUGACUGUUUCUACCAUGGUGUACAGAAUUUUUAUCAAAUUGCCAAGGUCUACCAAGUAAUAAGGAACAUGCUUGCAUAGGUACCACAUCACAAUCAACAUAAUCAGCAUAUGUAGAGAUACUAAAAUGCACACGAACAGUACGUGUUACCUUAACCUUGCCGCUGUUGUUGAACCAUUGGAUGUAGUAAGGAUGUGGAUGUGGUCUUGUGGUGAGAGAAAGCUUCUCCACCAUCUCCAUGCUAGCCAAGUUGUUGCAGCUCCCUCCAUCUAUGAUGACGCGCACAGAACGUUCCUUCACAACUCCCUUGGUAUGGAACAAAUUGUACCUCUGAUUUUGCUCAGCUUGUGUGACCUGCACACUCAAAACACGUUGAGCAACUAAAAACAUUCAUACCUGUCAGCGUCUUCAGGAGCCAUGUAUUGCGUCUCAUGAUCAGAAUCAUCUCCACCAUGUUCUUCACGUGUAAUAAGAGCCAAAGUCUCCUCAUCAUAGUCACUAGCGGACUCAUAUCCACCAUCCGCGGUAGCAAUCAUCACACGCGGAGAUUUGCAUUCUCUCGCAUAAUGACCUCCUCCCUUACAACGACGACAAAUAAUAUCACUUGUGUGCCCUGUUGAUGCCAUGGAAGAAGAAGAACGUUGUGCAGGCCCCGCAGGUGCGCUCUUGGCAGAUAAUGGUGGUUGUGCCUGUUUUCUUGUAUCACGGCUGGAGGUGGUACCGGAUGGAGGUGCUGGUGCAGUUGAAGUAGAAGAUGCACGUGGUGUCCAUGAUGAAGGUCGGCCUGCAGAAAAGUUAGUUCGCCCCAAUGCUUGUCGAUCCUGCACUUCACGUUCAGCUUUAGAAGCAAGAUGGAAUAAACGAGUGAUAUUAGUAUACUCCUUAUAGUCUAGAAUGGUCUGAAUCUCUCUAUUUAAUCCACCCAGAAAACGUGCAAGCAUAGCUUCAUUCUCCUCAACAAUACCACAUCUAAUCAUGCCAGUUUGUAAUUCCUGAUAAUAUUCUUCUACAGAAUUUUUCCCUUGUCUUAAACGCUGCAAUUUUUGAAGCAAUUCACGUUGAUAAUAUGGUGGAACCCAACGCGUACGCAUAGCAGUUUUCAAAGCAGCCCAAGUAGUUGGAAUAGGAUAUAAUCUACAAUGUUCAGACCACCAUACACAUGCAAAACUAGUGAAAGCACAAACGGCAGCAGCAACUCGUCUCUCCUCAGGAUAUUGUAAACAUGUAAAUCGUUGUUCAGUUUCUAACUCCCAAGUAAGAUAUAUAUCAGGAACAUAUCUACCCUCAAAUGGUGGAAUAUUCAAUUUCAGUUUAGGAAUAUGGACAUCAUCUCGUACCUGAGGUGGUGGUGCAGGCCUACCAUUACGAAUAUAUACCUGAGGUCGACCUGCUGGUGGUGGUACAGGUGGCUGCACGUAGUGUUGAUUUUGAUCAACCUCAUCCUCAUAAUGAUAGAGGCAAAGGUGUCCCGUCUUUCGAUGAGAUGGUGGAUUUCGCUUUGGUGGAAGUCGACUUUGACGAUCCGACUACGAACGUGCGAGGACGUCGCGCCUUAGCAAUCGCUAAACCAACUCCGAGAGGUUAUUGACCACGCCGGAGCACGAUCAACCUGACCACGAAGGUCUGUUUCCUGCGAGCAAACGAAGAACAAGCAAGAAACUAAGAUUGCAAUCUGGAUAUUGCGAAUAUAAGAUGGAAGCUUUAUUGAUCAAGGUGGGGUUCUGUGACGCCUUUGUCUGGUCGUUGAACACAAACGAAGUACGCGAAGUUGCAGCUAUGGCGAACUUUUAAUCUAAACAAAACCCAAAGUCUAAACGAUGCCCUAAGGGCUGUAUAUAUGGAGGAAGAGGGGGGGAAUUUCGUGGCCCUUGGUGGAGGGGUCCGAAAUCAACCCUAUCUCUUGUUUCCCCACACAUACGGACUCUAAAAAUAGCCUAUACUUAUGUAUUUCGAAAUUACAUGGGCCUGGCCCAAUAAUAAGGUGACGCAGCACCUAAAAUAGCCUCGGGACGAAAUUUAUGAAGUGGCAUCUUGUAUAUUUCGUCCAAGGCUUCAUGCACCCAUUAUGGUGGCUUCAAAGUCCUGAAAUCAUCACUUGUAACUCCGUUCUUGUUUCCCUUGCGCAUGCCAUUAUCUCCAUGCUUGUUCUUGCUCCAAUGUUCAUCCUUCUCCAAGCUAGGCCCUUCAUUUGUAAGCAAAACAAAUGUAUCCAAUUUAGGCAGCAUCAUAUUCUCAUGAACAUUAGAAUCAUUACCAAGAAACGAAAGUACCUGGUAAUUUAGUUGGCGUGCACGAGCUCUAGUAAUUGGUCCAGUAUGUAUAGCAGCAGGGGCUGUGGGUGUAACAAUUGUAUUGAUGUCCUCAUCAAAACGCCUAUAGAAUCCAGCGAGGCCAAGAAAACUCCUCACUUGUGUGACCGUUUUGGGCUGCGGCCAACUCUCAAUAGCUUCAAUCUUGGCUUUAUCAACUUCAAUUCCCUGUGGAGUAACAACAUAGCCAAGAAAAGAUACUCGGUCGGUGCAAAAGGUGCACUUCCCAAGGUUACCAAACAAACGUGCAUCACGUAGAGCAAUAAAAACAGCACGUAAAUGUUCCAAAUGUUCUUCCAAAGAUCUGCUAUAAAUCAAUAUGUCAUCAAAGUAAACUACCACAAAUCGUCCAAUGAAAGCACGUAAAACUUCGUUCAUUAAUCUCAUGAAAGUACUAGGUGCAUUAGUUAACCCAAAAGGCAUGACUAACCACUCAUAUAAUCCAAACUUAGUUUUAAAUGCUGUUUUCCAUUCAUCUCCCAAUUUCAUACGAAUUUGAUGGUAGCCACUACGCAAAUCAACUUUGGAGAAUAUUGUAGAGCCACUCAAUUCAUCAAGCAUAUCAUCUAGCCUUGGAAUAGGAUGACGAUAACGAAUAGUAAUAUUAUUAAUGCCUCUACAAUCAACACACAUACGUGAUGUACCAUCCUUUUUCGGCACUAGAAUAAUAGGAACAUCACAAGGACUAAGGGAUUCGCGUAUAUAACCUUUGUCGAGAAGCUCUUGUACUUGACGCAUAAUCUCCUUCGUCUCCUCUAGAUUGGUACGGUAUGGUGCACGGUUUGGCAGUGAAGCACCGGGAAUUAAGUCAAUCUGAUGCUCAAUCCCUCGAAUAGGCGGUAAUCCCGGUGGCACGUCUUGUGGAAAAACGUCAGCGAACUCCUGCAAAAUGUUAGUGACAGCAGGAGGCAAAGAGGAAGGCACGUCCUCGAAUGAAAAUAAUGCCUCUUUGCACACAAAAGCAUAGCAAACAGAUUUGCUAAAAUCUAGAUGAUAGAGGCGGGGUGUCCCGAUCUUUCGAUGAGAUGAUAACUAUCGAUUUGGUGGAGACGACUUUGACGAUCCGACUACAAACGUGCAACGACGUUGUGCCUUAGCAAUCGCUAAACCAACUCUGAGAGGUUAUUGACCACGCUGGAGCACGAUCAACCUGACCACGAAGGUCUAUUCCUGCAAGCAAUCGAAGAACGAGCAAGAAUAUGAUAAAGCAAUCUGAAUAUUGCGAAUAUAUAUGAAGUAUUGAUAAUGGUGGGGAUCCGUAAGCGGUCUUGGUCUGGUCGUUGGACACAAACGAAGUACACGAAGUUGCAAUGGCUAACUUUUAACUAAACAAAUCCCAAGGAAAAGCUACUAGAUGGAUCUACUUAUAUAGGAGCAAGGGGUGGAGGCCAAGGAGGUUGGAGGACGUCCCAAGGCAGCCUAAAACUAAAUCUAGGUCGUACAAGGCCAAUGGGCCCAAGUGGAGGUGAUGUAACACCUUUGGACUUGUAGUUUGACUCGGAUUCUGCUGCAGCAUCAGAUUGUUUCGUCCACAACUCAACGCUCCGGACGAAUUUGAAGGUGAUUCCAAUUGGGUUGGAAAGUGCACGAAAUCUAGUUUCCAACAAAAAAAGAAUCACCCAAUUCGGAGUCCGUAUGACAAACUUGUGUGCGUUUUGAGUCAGGAGUGUCUGUGCAGUCCGAAUCUGAAUCCAGAACGUGAGAGACUUGGACUCUAUCUUCUCUUGGGCCAAAAGUGACGUGAGAGAACUUUUUGGACAACAAAUAAACAUCUCUUUCUUCCUUAUCUUCAUAUGUGGAUUGUACAAAUGUCCCAUACACCUGCAAUUAGACAAAACACAAAAGUGUGUGAAGUAUUUUUGUUCUGGAUAACAUAAAUAGAUUAUUGAAUAGUUUGCACUAGAAAUCACCUGACAAAUAUGCAUAUAUGCAAUAUUUUUGGUCAUAUCCAAGGUAGUCAUGUCCUCAUCAUCCUCCCGUUCUUGAAAAUAAAGCCGUCCUCGGCGUUGCUUAAUCUGAAAUGUGGCUAACAAAGGAGACAAGGUGUACAUAUUGUAUAUGUAUAUGUCAUCCAUUUUUAUUUCCCUUGAUUUUUGCAUAUAUGACACAUGAAUAGAUGAGUAACUUGCAUAGUUCAUAAAAUCUAAAGCCAAAAAAUUAGCACAAGAAGUAGAAGGCAUGAAAAUAUUGCAACUCAGUUUGCACAUAUAAGUGAAGCUCUUAUUCAUUUCAAAAGAUUGACAAUGUUCAUCAUUAAACCAUCCCAACAUUGGUGAAUAAACCUUACUUGCAUCAAAUUUACAUGCUACAACAUGCUUAAAUAAGCAAACAUGCAAUAAGUCAUUCAACACAGAAUCAUCACCAAGAUUAGAGGUCAUAUCAAAAUGAUUAAACAUUGGUUCUUUUGCAUCAAUAGUUAAUUCAAUGGGUGCACUCAAAAUUGUUGGUAUUUCAGUUGUUUGAUCACAUGGCAAGGUCAAAUUAUCAACGUAGUCCUCUAAAAUAGGUGGUGUGAUCAAAGUAGUGGGUAGCUCAUCAGAUGGUGCAUUCAAAUUGACAAGGCAUUCAUCAUUCUCAUGUAGAGAUGGAAGAUCAGUACCUUUGUCAUUACCUCUUAUGAUCAACUCAGAUGAUGUAGCCACUCUCGGGGGCGAUGUGUCACGUGGUGGAGGUGAUGUAGUCCUGACAACAACGGAUGUGGUUGUCAUAGUAUGCCUAGUAGUUGAAGGAACAAUCAUAUCAACUCUUGGAAUGUGCACCGUGCGCUUGUUCUCCUCAUGGCCAACACGUCGUUUUAUUUCCUGUUCAGCUUUGCAAGCAAGAUGAAACAAAUGGUCCAUAGGAUAACACUCUUCAUGAAUUAGUAUCUCUUGAAUAUCACGGUUUAAUCCUCCCCAAAAUCUAUCCAUAAAAUCAUCUUCACUUUCUUCUAAAGAGGAAUGCAACAAGGUAGUUUGUAAAUCAUCAUAAUAUUUUGUUACAGUUUCACUACCUUGUUUUAAGUGUUGCAACUUCUUAAUCAUGUCACGAGUAUAAUAAGCAGGGACGAAAGUAUGUCGCAUGGCAAGUUUCAAAUCAUCCCAAGUAGUAGGUAUAUAAUCAGGGUGUAACUGACAAUAUUCACUCCACCAAACCAAAGCAUAACCAGUGAAAGAACCAACCGCAACCUUAACCUUUUUAUGUUCAUUGAAAUUAUGGGAAGCAAAUAUAUUUUUUAUGUCGAACUCCCAUUCAAUAUAUAAAGCAGGUUUAAAACGGCCAUUAAAUGGUGGUAUAGAUACAUUAACCUGAUCAUGUGAUAGAGGCGAGGGUGUCCCGAUCUUUCGAUGAGAUGAUAACUAUCGAUUUGGUGGAGACGACUUUGACGAUCCGACUACAAACGUGCACGACGUUGCGCCUUAGCAAUCGCUAAACCAAUCUCCUGAGGUUACUGAUGAUGCCGGAAGCACGGUCAGCCUGACCACGAAGGUCUAUUCCUGCAAGCAAUCGAAGAACGAGCAAGAAUAUGAUAAAGCAAUCUGAAUAUUGCAAAUAUAUAUGAGGUAUUGAUAACGGUGGGGAUCCGUAAGCGGUCUUGGUCUGGUCGUUGGACACAAACGAAGUACACGAAGUUGCGUUGGCUAACUUUUAACUAAACAAAUCCCAAGGAAAAGCUACUAGAUGGAUCUACUUAUAUAGGAGCAAGGGGUGGAGGCCAAGGAGGUGGGAGGACGUCCCAAGGCAGCCUAAAACUAAAUCUAGGUCGUACAAGGCCAAUGGGCCCAAGUGGAGGUGAUGUAACACCUUUGGACUUGUAGUUUGACUCGGAUUCUGCUGCAGCAUCAGAUUGUUUCAUCCACAACUCAACGCUCCGGACGAAUUUGAAGGUGAUUCCAAUUGGGUUGGAAAGUGCACGAAAUCUAGUUUCCAACAAAAAAAGAAUCACCCAAUUCGGAGUCCGUAUGAAAAACUUGUGUGCGUUUUGAUUCAGGUAUGUCUGUGCAGUCCGAAUCUGAAUCCAGAACGUGAGAGACUUGGACUCUAUCUUCUCUUGGGCCAAAAGUGACGUGAGAGAACUUUUUGGACAGCAAAUAAACAUCUCUUUCUUCCUUAUCUUCAUAUGUGGAUUGUACAAAUGUCCCAUACACCUGCAAUUAGACAAAACACAAAAGUGUGUGAAGUAUUUUUGUUCUGGAUAACAUAAAUAGAUUAUUGAAUAGUUUGCACUAGAAAUCACCUGACAAAUAUGCAUAUAUGCAAUAUUUUUGGUCAUAUCCAAGGUAGUCAUGUCCUCAUCAUCCUCCCCUUCUUGAAAAUAAAGCCGUCCUAGGCGUUGCUUAAUCUGAAAUGUGGCUAACAAAAGAGACAAGGUGUACAUGUUGUAUAUGUAUAUGUCAUCCAUUUUUACUUCCCUUGAUUUUUGCAUAUAUGACACAUGAAUAGAUGAGUAACUUGCAUAGUUCAUAAAAUCUAAAGCCAAAAAAUUAGCACAAGAAGUAGAAGGCAUGAAAAUAUUGCAACUCAGUUUGCACAUAUAAGUGAAGCUCUUACUCAUUUCAAAAGAUUGACAAUGUUCAUCAUUAAACCAUCCCAACAUUGGUGAAUAAACCUUACUUGCAUCAAAUUUACAUGCUACAACAUGCUUAAAUAAGCAAACAUGCAAUAAGUCAUUCAACACAGAAUCAUCACCAAGAUUAGAGGUCAUAUCAAAAUGAUUAAACAUUGGUUCUUUUGCAUCAAUAGUUAAUUCAAUGGGUGCACUCAAAAUUGUUGGUAUUUCAGUUGUGUGAUCACAUGGCAAAGUCAAAUUAUCAACGUAGUCCUCUAAAAUAGGUGGUGUGAUCAAAGUAGUGGGUAGCUCAUCAGAUGGUGCAUUCAAAUUGACAAGGCAUUCAUCAUUCUCAUGUAGAGAUGGAAGAUCAGUACCUUUGUCAUUACCUCUUAUGAUCAACUCAGAUGAUGUAGCCACUCUCGGGGGCGAUGUGUCACAUGGUGGAGGUGAUGUAGUCCUGACAACAACGGAUGUGGUUGUCAUAGUAUGCCUAGUAGUUGAAGGAACAAUCAUAUCAACUCUUGGAAUGUGCACCGUGCGCUUGUUCUCCUCGUGGCCGACACGUCGUUUUAUUUCCUGUUCAGCUUUGCAAGCAAGAUGAAACAAAUGGUCCAUAGGAUAACACUCUUCAUGAAUUAGUAUCUCUUGAAUAUCACGGUUUAAUCCUCCCCAAAAUCUAUCCAUAAAAUCAUCUUCACUUUCUUCUAAAGAGGAAUGCAACAAGGUAGUUUGUAAAUCAUCAUAAUAUUUUGUUACAGUUUCACUACCUUGUUUUAAGUGUUGCAAUUUCUUAAUCAUGUCACGAGUAUAAUAAGCAGGGACGAAAGUAUGUCGCAUGGCAAGUUUCAAAUCAUCCCAAGUAGUAGGUAUAUAAUCAGGGUGUAACCGACAAUAUUCACUCCACCAAACCAAAGCAUAACCAGUGAAAGAACCAACCGCAACCUUAACCUUUUUAUGUUCAUCGAAAUUAUGGGAAGCAAAUAUAUUUUUUAUGUCGAACUCCCAUUCAAUAUAUAAAGCAGGUUUAAAACGGCCAUUAAAUGGUGGUAUAGAUACAUUAACCUGAUCAUGUGCAUUUGGAUGUUUGUGCACCUCUCGUGACGGUUGUGGUAUUUGCAAAGGUGGUGGCACGUCUCCCGCGAUCGACAAAGCCCAUGAAUUGACUCUGGAUCCUGUCAUGAUUAGUAGAACAAGAAACAAAACCCAAAAAUAAUGUUCCUAUAACUACUACGAUGUUGUGGUAAAACGCUCACAGUAAAGCAAAUAUCAAUGUCUUACAAGUUCUUACCAUGCAGCAGGCGGUGAUCGGCAACCAGCGGUGUCAAGUAACUCCGAAUAUUGAGUAAAGCGAUUGCCAGGGGAGCGUACGUAUACACGGUGUAGAAAUAUGUGGAGCUGGGUUGGCUAUAUAUGGUAGCAAAAGAUUAGCAAUAAUCAAUUCAAAGAUGCAAUGUUGAAUAAACGCUCAACGACGGUACUGUGCUGGUCCUAGGCUAGACCGGACUAGAGACGCGAGCCUAGAACACUAAUGAGGUCACGGCGUAGCACAACUAGCAUCAAUGUAGGAUACUAAGUAGCUCUUGACAGCAAGAUAUAAGUAAAGAUCACAACAGCAGUGAAGAUAAUGAGGUGAAACAACAGCCAAGCAGGAUAUAUCAACAACUUUGUCUCCAACUUUCCUCUGAAAAAGUUUGUGCCGAUUUUUUUUGUUUUUUUUUCUUCUCUCUUGUUUUUCCUCACACUUUUUUUUCUUUCUCUCCUUUUUUUUCUCUGACUUUUUUUUUCCUUUUUUUCUCUCUUUUUUUUCUCUCUUUUUUUCUCCCUCUUUCCAAAACAAACUAGAUAAGAUGCAGAUUGGAUCAAGUGAAGAUGUGAACGAUCUCAACUAUUAUUAUGACAAUGAAUGGUGGGUAGCACGUGGUGGAAAUUGAUGGAUGGGUGGUGGACAGCGGAAGAGAUAAUGAUGCAGUGGUGGCGUGACUAAUGUGAACAGAACUCGAAACUCUAAACGAACUAGACACUAAGACCAGCAACUCAACACGACGAUGCAACCGAUAAUUCAACUAUGCAAGCAAUGAAAAGAAAAUUGCAAAGGCUCAGACUGGCUUGGACCAAGGAUGAAUAGAUCUAACUCUUUUUUGUGGCUUUUUCUUGGACAAUAGGUAAGAAAAUAAAUCUAAUCUAGGAAAACUAGAAAUUCUCACCGAGCAACCUGAAAACUGAUACCACUUGAUAGAGGCGGGGUGUCCCGAUCUUUCGAUGAGAUGAUAACUAUCGAUUUGGUGGAGACGACUUUGACGAUCCAACUACAAACGUGCAACGACGUUGUGCCUUAGCAAUCGCUAAACCAACUCCGAGAGGUUAUUGACCACGCUGGAGCACGAUCAACCUGACCAUGAAGGUCUAUUCCUGCAAGCAAUCGAAGAACGAGCAAGAAUAUGAUAAAGCAAUAUGAAUAUUGCGAAUAUAUAUGAAGUAUUAAUGGUGGGGAUCCGUAAGCGGUCUUGGUCUGGUCGUUGGACACAAACGAAGUACACAAAGUUGCAAUGGCUAACUUUUAACUAAACAAAUCCCAAGGAAAAGCUACUAGAUGGAUCUACUUAUAUAGGAGCAAGGGGUGGAGGCCAAGGAGGUUGGAGGACGUCCCAAGGCAGCCUAAAACUAAAUCUAGGUCGUACAAGGCCAAUGGGCCCAAGUGGAGGUGAUGUAACACCUUUGGACUUGUAGUUUGACUCGGAUUCUGCUGCAGCAUCAGAUUGUUUCGUCCACAACUCAACGCUCCGGACGAAUUUGAAGGUGAUUCCAAUUGGGUUGGAAAGUGCACGAAAUCUAGUUUCCAACAAAAAAAGAAUCACCCAAUUCGGAGUCCGUAUGAAAAACUUGUGUGCAUUUUGAGUCAGGAGUGUCUGUGCAGUCCGAAUCUGAAUCCAGAACGUGAGAGACUUGGACUCUAUCUUCUCUUGGGCCAAAAGUGACGUGAGAGAACUUUUUGGACAACAAAUAAACAUCUCUUUCUUCCUUAUCUUCAUAUGUGGAUUGUACAAAUGUCCCAUACACCUGCAAUUAGACAAAACACAAAAGUGUGUGAAGUAUUUUUGUUCUGGAUAACAUAAAUAGAUUAUUCAAUAGUUUGCACUAGAAAUCACCUGACAAAUAUGCAUAUAUGCAAUAUUUUUGGUCAUAUCCAAGGUAGUCAUGUCCUCAUCACUAGAUCAUCAAUAUCAGAUUUGGUGGCAAGUAAACAUGCACUUUUCAAUUUAAUUUCAGAAGCAACACUAGAUGGUUUAUUAUUAGGCUUCAUUUGUUGCUCAAAUUCUUUUGCCACAAUCUGAUUUUCACUCUUAUUCUUCUCCUGUUGUGCUUUAUUAGCUCUAUUAAUAUCAUCUUUCAAAAUGGAAUCAGGAGUCAUAGGAAGCAAAGUAAUAUUUUUAUCCUUAUGAACAAGAGUAUAGUGAUUGUUUCUACCAUGGUGUACAGAAUUUUUAUCAAAUUGCCAUGGUCUACCAAGUAAUAAGGAACAUGCUUGCAUAGGUACCACAUCACAAUCAACAUAAUCAGCAUAUGUAGAGAUACUAAAAUGCACACGAACAGUACGUGUUACCUUAACCUUGCCGCUGUUGUUGAACCAUUGGAUGUAGUAAGGAUGUGGAUGUGGUAUUGUGGUGAGAGAAAGCUUCUCCACCAUCUCCAUGCUAGCCAAGUUGUUGCAGCUCCCUCCGUCUAUUAUGACGCGCACAGAACGUUCCUUCACAACUCCCUUGGUAUGGAACAAAUUGUGCCUCUGAUUUUGCUCAGCUUGUGUGACCUGCACACUCAAAACACGUUGAGCAACUAAACAUUCAUACCUGUCAGCGUCUUCAGGAGCCAUGUAUUGCGUCUCAUGAUCAGAAUCAUCUCCACCAUGUUCUUCACGUGUAAUAAGAGCCAAUGUCUCCUCAUCAUAGUCACUAGCGGACUCAUAUCCACCAUCCGCGGUAGCAAUCAUCACACACGGAGAUUUGCAUUCCCUCGCAUAAUGACCUCCUCCCUUACAACGACGACAAAUAAUAUCACUUGUGUGCCCUGUUGAUGCCAUGGAAGAAGAAGAACGCUGUGCAGGCCCCGCAGGUGCGCUCUUGGCAGAUAAUGGUGGUUGUUCCUGUUUUCUUGUAUCACGACUGUAGGAGGCACCUGAUUGAGGUGCUGGUGCAGUUGAAGUAGAAGAUGCACGCGGCGUCCAUGAAGAAGGUCGGCCUGCAGAAAAGUUAGUUCGCGCCAAUGCUUGUCGAUCCUGCACUUCACGUUCAGCUUUACAAGCAAGAUGGAAUAAACGAGUGAUAUUAGUAUACUCCUUAUAGUCUAGAAUGGUCUGAAUCUCUCUAUUUAAUCCACCCAGAAAACGUGCAAGCAUAGCUUCAUUCUCCUCAACAAUACCACAUCUAAUCAUGCCAGUUUGUAAUUCCCGAUAAUAUUCUUCUACAGAAUUUUUCCCUUGUCUUAAACGCUGCAAUUUUUGAAGCAAUUCACGUUGAUAAUAUGGUGGAACCCAACGCGUACGCAUAGCAGUUUUCAAAGCAGCCCAAGUAGUUGGAAUAGGAUAUAAUCUACAAUGUUCAGACCACCAUACACAUGCAAAACUAGUGAAAGCACAAACGGCAGCAGCAACUCGUCUCUCCUCAGGAUAUUGUAAACAUGUAAAUCGCUGUUCAGUUUCUAACUCCCAAGUAAGAUAUAUAUCAGGAACAUAUCUACCCUCAAAUGGUGGAAUAUUCAAUUUCAGUUUAGGAAUAUGGACAUCAUCUCGUACCUGAGGUGGUGGUGCAGGCCUACCAUUACGAAUAUAUACCUGAGGUCGACCUGCUGGUGGUGGUACAGGUGGCUGCAUGUAGUGUUGAUUUUGAUCAACCUCAUCCUCAUAAUCUCCCACAUAAUCAUCCUCCUCCGCAUCAGCAGCAGGAGCCACAGAAGUAUCAACAGCAGCACCAACAGUUUGGCCAAACGCAAGAGGAACACGGCUUGCUCGGCGGAGGUCUGCUUCGCGACGUGGAGGUAGUCGUUGUUGUUGUUGUUGGAGAGGUGCGUUAGGUGCAGCGGGUGGUGGUGGUGGAAGACGCGCGAGCAAUUCAUUAAACUUGUUAUCGAGCUUUGUUUUGAACGUCUUCUCAAGGCCAGUGAUCUUCUCCAUGGCCUCUUCAAAAUUGUUCAGCACAUCUUGCACCUGUUCAGUCAUCAUUUGCUGAAACUUAUCAUGAAGCUCCUUGUUCGAUAAAUUCUCCCAGUCAAUCUCGUCGGCUUGUGAUCCUGGCAUGGUUAGCAGCAAUAGAAACACACAAGAAUAUGAUCCUACAGACUACUAAGAAGUGGUGGUGGUGUAUCACAAAUCCGUCAAGCAAAUCUCAAAUUCUUACCAGUUCUUACCCAGCAGCAGCGGUGAUCGGCAACCGUUGUAGUCAAAAACUCUCAAAGCUUGGAUAGAGCGAUUACCAGGGAGAGUCAAACACACGACGUAGAUGUAUGUGGAGCUGGGAAGGCUUAUAGUAUGGUAGCAAAAAUGGUCAGCAAUAAUCAAUUCAGAGAUGCAAAGUUGAAUAAACGCUCAACGACGGUACUGUGCUGGUCCUAGGCUAGACUGUGCUAGAGACGCGAGCCUAGAACACCAACAAAAUCACGGCGCGGCACGUAAACAAGGGAAAAGCACACUCUGAAUUUUUUCGCUUUUUUUUUGCGCUUUUUUUUGCGCUGCUUUUUUUUUUGAAAAAUCACUAUAAUGGCGAGUGUCUCAAAACUCUUCUUAGCUCAAACUGACAGGAUGGGCACGAAAUUUUUUCGACCAAUUUUUUUUUUGACUGCCCGGACCCAAAAACUGGAAACGGGUCAAAAAAAAACUUCCUAUAAUGGCACCUGUCUCAAAACACACAGAAACACCUAAAAAUAGGAUAGCCAGAAUUUUUUUCGAAAAAUGCGUUUUCGAAAAAUUUUGGGCCUAAACGGAGCGUGGCUACCCGACUCUAAGACCGGCAAGGAAACACGAAUCGGAAACUAGAUGGAUCUCGAAAACAACCCUAAUAAUCAAGGAACUCGGAUUGGUGGUGGAUAUAUGGUGGUGGUAUAUGGCAGCGGUGGUGGUAGUAUAUGGAUAUGGAUCGGUGGUGGUAUAUGGACACGGAUUGGUGGUGGUAUAUGGAUACGGAUUCGGAGCGGUGGUGGUAGAUGGCAGGGGCGAUGAUGAUGGUGCGGCGGCAGCGUGACAACUUAUGACCAGAACUCGAAACUCUAAAAGACUAGACUCUAAGACCAGCAACUAGACACGACGAUGCAACCGCAAAUUCAACAAAGCAAAACCCUAAAAAGACUAUGCAAAGGCUCAGAUUGGUUCGGAUAUGAUGAACUAACCCUAAAUUUUUUUUUGUGGCUUUUUCGUGGACUGUAGGUAUGAAGAACAGACUCGAUCUAAACUACGAAAAACUGUAAAAUCUCGCCGAGCAACCUGGAAAUCUGAUACCACUUGAUAGAGGCAAAGGUGUCCCGUCUUUCGAUGAGAUGAUGGAUAUCGCUUUGGUGGAAGUCGACUUUGACGAUCCGACUACGAACGUGCGAGGACGUCGCGCCUUAGCAAUCGCUAAACCAACUCCGAGAGGUUAUUGACCACGCCGGAGCACGAUCAACCUGACCACGAGGGUCUGUUUCCUGCGAGCAAACGAAGAACAAGCAAGAAACUAAGAUUGCAAUCUGGAUAUUGCGAAUAUAAGAUGAAAGCUUUAUUGAUCAAGGUGGGGUUCUGUGACGCCUUUGUCUGGUCGUUGAACACAAACGAAGUACGCGAAGUUGCAGCUAUGGCGAACUUUUAAUCUAAACAAAACCCAAAGUCUAAACGAUGCCCUAAGGGCUGUAUAUAUGGAGGAAGAGGGGGGAAUUUCGUGGCCCUUGGUGGAGGGGUCCGAAAUCAACCCUAUCUCUUGUUUCCCCACACAUACGGACUCUAAAAAUAGCCUAUACUUAUGUCUUUCGAAAUUACAUGGGCCUGGCCCAAUAAUAAGGUGACGCAGCACCUAAAAUAGCCUCGGGACGAAAUUUAUGAAGUGGCAUCUUGUAUAUUUCGUCCAAGGCUUCAUGCACCCAUUAUGGUGGCUUCAAAGUCCUGAAAUCAUCACUUGUAACUCCGUUCUUGUUCCCCUUGCGCAUGCCAUCAUCUCCAUGCUUGUUCUUGCUCCAAUGUUCAUCCUUCUCCAAGCUAGGCCCUUCAUUUGUAAGCAAAACAAAUGUAUCCAAUUUAGGCAGCAUCAUAUUCUCAUGAACAUUAGAAUCAUUACCAAGAAACAAAAGUACCUGGUAAUUUAGUUGGCGUGCGCGAGCUCUAGUAAUUGGUCCAGUAUGUAUAGCAGCAGGGCCUGUGGGUGUAACAAUGGUAUUGAUGUCCUCAUCAUCCUCCCCUUCUUGAAAUGAAGUCGUCCUCGACGGAAACUCAUCUUCCUCACCCAAAUAAGGCUUCAAAUCUGCAAUGUUAAAAGUGGGACUAACCCCAAAAUCUGCAGGCAGCUCAAGUUUAUAUGCAUUAUCAUUUAUUUUCUCUAACACCUUAAAGGGACCAUCAGCCCGUGGCAUGAGCUUUGAUUUGCGCAAAUCAGGAAAUCUAUCCUUAUGCAAAUGUAACCAAACAAGAUCUCCAGGUGCAAACACAACAUGUUUUCUACCCUUAUCUCCAGCAAGUUUAUAUUUGGCAUUCAUACGCUCAAUGUUUUCCUUAGUUAACUCAUGCAUUUUUAAAAUCAAUUCAGCACGUUGUUUAGCAUCAAAAUUAACCUUCUCCGAAGAUGGAAGAGGCAACAAAUCAAUAGGUGCACGAGGUAGGAAACCAUACACAACUUCAAAAGGGCACAUCUUAGUAGUAGAAUGCAAUGAACGAUUAUAAGCAAAUUCAAUAUGAGGCAAGCAUUCCUCCCACAUUUUCUUAUUACUCUUUAAAACAGCCCUAAGCAUAGUAGACAAUGUUCUAUUGACUACUUCAGUUUGGCCAUCAGUUUGGGGGUGACAAGUAGUACUAAAAAGCAGUUUAGUCCCCAACUUAGCCCAUAAACAUCUCCAAAAGUGGCUAAGAAAUUUAGUAUCACGAUCUGAAACAAUAGUAUUUGGCACACCAUGCAAGCGAAUAAUUUCACGAAAGAACAAAUCAGCAACAUUAACAGCAUCAUCGCUUUUAUGACAUGGUAUAAAGCGUGCCAUUUUCGAGAAUCUAUCCACGACAACAAAUAUGCUAUCCCUCCCCUUCUUUGUUCGAGGUAAACCUAAAACAAAGUCCAUAGAUAUAUCCUCCCAAGGAACACUAGGUACAGGCUGAUAGAGGCAAAGGUGUCCCGUCUUUCGAUGAGAUGAUGGAUAUCGCUUUGGUGGAAGUCGACUUUGACGAUCCGACUACGAACGUGCGAGGACGUCGCGCCUUAGCAAUCGCUAAACCAACUCCGAGAGGUUAUUGACCACGCCGGAGCACGAUCAACCUGACCACGAGGGUCUGUUUCCUGCGAGCAAAUGAAGAACAAGCAAGAAACUAAGAUUGCAAUCUGGAUAUUGCGAAUAUAAGAUGAAAGCUUUAUUGAUCAAGGUGGGGUUCUGUGACGCCUUUGUCUGGUCGUUGAACACAAACGAAGUACGCGAAGUUGCAGCUAUGGCGAACUUUUAAUCUAAACAAAACCCCAAAGUCUAAACGAUGCCCUAAGGGCUGUAUAUAUGGAGGAAGAGGGGGGAAUUUCGUGGCCCUUGGUGGAGGGGUCCGAAAUCAACCCUAUCUCUUGUUUCCCCACACAUACGGACUCUAAAAAUAGCCUAUACUUAUGUAUUUCGAAAUUACAUGGGCCUGGCCCAAUAAUAAGGUGACGCAGCACCUAAAAUAGCCUCGGGACGAAAUUUAUGAAGUGGCAUCUUGUAUAUUUCGUCCAAGCCUUCAUGCACCCAUUAUGGUGGCUUCAAAGUCCUGAAAUCAUCACUUGUAACUCCAUUCUUGUUCUUGCUCCAAUGUUCAUCCUUCUCCAAGCUAGGCCCUUCAUUUGUAAGCAAAACAAAUGUAUCCAAUUUAGGCAGCAUCAUAUUCUCAUGAACAUUAGAAUCAUUACCAAGAAACGAAAGUACCUGGUAAUUUAGUUGGCGUGCACGAGCUCUAGUAAUUGGUCCAGUAUGUAUAGCAGCAGGGGCUGUGGGUGUAACAAUUGUAUUGAUGUCCUCAUCAGCUACCAUAUUAUAAGCCUUCCCAGCUCCACAUACAUCUACGUCGUGCGUUUGACUCUCCCUGGUAAUCGCUCUAUCCAAGCUUUGAGAGUUUUUGACUACAACGGUUGCCGAUCACCGCCUGCUGCUAGGUAAGAACUGGUAAGAAUUUGAGAUUUGCUUGACGGAUUUGUGACACCCACCACCACCUCUUGUUAGUAGUCUGUAGGAUCAUAUUCUUGUGUGUUUCUAUUGCUGCUAACCAUGCCAGGAUUACAAGCCGACGAGACUGACUGGGAGAACAUGACGAAUAAGGAUUUGCAUGAUAAAUUUCAGCAAAUGAUGAGUGGACAGGUGCAAGAUGUGCUAAACAGAUUUGAAGAGGCCAUGGAGAAGAUAGAUGGCAUGGAGAAGACGUUCGAAACAAAGCUCGAUAACAAGUUUAAUGAAUUGCUCGCGCGUCUUCCACCACCACCACCCGCUGCACCUAAUGCACCUCUCCAACAACAAUAAUAACGACUACCUCCACGUCGUGAAACAGAUCUCCGCCGAGCGAGCCGUGUUCCUCUUGCGUUUGGCCAAACUGUUGGUGCUGCUGUUGAUACUUCUGUGGCUCCUGCUGCUGAUGCGGAGGAGGAUGAUUAUGUGGGAGAUUAUGAGGAUGAGGUUGCUCAAAAUCAGAACUACGUGCAACCACCUGCACCACAACCACCAGGUCGUCCACAUGCAAAUAAUCACAAUGGUAGGGCUUUCCCUCAGGUACGAGAUCAUGACCAUCUUCCUAAACUGAAAUUGAAUAUUCCACCUUUCGAGGGUAGAUAUGUUCCUGAUAUAUAUCUUACUUGGGAGUUAGAAACUGAACAACGAUUUACAUGUUUACAAUAUCCCGAGGAGAGACGGGUUGCCGCUGCUGUUUGUGCUUUCACUAGUUUUGCAUGUGUAUGGUGGUCUGAACAUUGUAGAUUAUAUCCUAUUCCAACUACUUGGGCUGCUUUGAAAACUGCUAUGCGUACUCGUUGGAUUCCACCAUAUUAUCAACGUGAAUUGCUUCAGAAAUUAUAGCGCUUAAGACAAGGAAAAAAUUCUGUAGAAGAAUAUUAUCAGGAAUUACAAACUGGCAUGAUUAGAUGUGGUAUUGUUGAGGAGAAUGAAGCUAUGCUUGCACGUUUUCUGGGUGGAUUAAAUAGAGAGAUUCAGACCAUUCUAGACUAUAAGGAGUAUACUAAUAUCACUCGUUUAUUCCAUCUUGCUUGUAAAGCUGAACGUGAAGUGCAGGAUCGACAAGCAUCGGCGUGAACUAACUUUUCUGCAGGCCGACCUUCAUCAUGGACACCGCGUGCAUCUUCUACUUCAACUGCACCAGCACCUCAAUCAGGUGUCUCCUCCAGUCGUGAUACAAGAAAACAGGCACAACCACCAUUAUCUGCCAAGAGCGCACCUGCUGGGCCUGCACAGAGUUCUGCUUCUUCCAUGGCAUCAACAGGGCACACAAGUGAUAUUAUUUGUCGUCCUUGUAAGGGAGGAGGUCAUUAUGCGAGAGAAUGCAAAUCUCCGCGUGUGAUGAUUGCUACCGCGGAUGGUGGAUAUGAGUCCGCUAGUGACUAUGAUGAGGAGACUUUGGCUCUUAUUACACGUGAAGAACAUGGUGGAGAUGAUUCUGAUCAUGAGACGCAAUACAUGGCUCCUGAAGACGCUGACAGGUAUGAAUGUUUAGUUGCUCAACGUGUUUUGAGUGUGCAGGUCACACAAGCUGAGCAAAAUCAGAGGCACAAUUUGUUCCAUACCAAGGGAGUUGUGAAGGAACGUUCUGUGCGCGUCAUAAUAGACGGAGGGAGCUGCAACAACUUGGCUAGCAUGGACAUGGUGGAGAAGCUUUCUCUCACCACAAGACCACAUCCACAUCCUUACUACAUCCAAUGGUUCAACAACAGCAGCAAGGUUAAGGUAACACGUACUGUUCGUGUGCAUUUUAGUAUCUCUACAUAUGCUGAUUAUGUUGAUUGUGAUGUGGUACCUAUGCAAGCAUGUUCCUUAUUACUUGGUAGACCAUGGCAAUUUGAUAAAAAUUCUGUACACCAUGGUAGAAACAAUCACUAUACUCUUGUUCAUAAGGAUAAAAAUAUUACUUUUCUUCCUAUGACUCCUGAUUCCAUUUUGGAAGAUGAUAUUAAUAGAGCUAAUAAAGCAAAACAGGAGACGAAUAAGAGUGAAAAUCAGAUUGUGGCAAAAGAAUUUGAGCAACAAAUGAAGCCUAAUAAUAAACCAUCUACUGUUGCUUCUGAAAUUAAAUUGAAAACUGCAUGUUUAUUUGCCACCAAAUCCGAUAUUGAUGAGCUAGAUUUCAGCAAAUCUGUUUGCUAUGCUUUUGUGUGCAAAGAGGCAUUAUUUUCAUUCGAGGACGUGCCUUCCUCUUUGCCUCCUGCUGUCACUAACAUUUUGCAGGAGUUCGCUGACGUCUUUCCACAAGACGUGCCACCGGGAUUACCGCCUAUUCGAGGGAUUGAGCAUCAGAUUGACUUAAUUCUCGGUGCUUCACUGCCAAACCGUGCACCAUACCGUACCAAUCCAGAGGAGACGAAGGAGAUUAUGCGUCAAGUACAAGAGCUUCUCGACAAAGGUUAUAUACGCGAAUCCCUUAGUCCUUGUGUUGUUCCUAUUAUUCUAGUGCCGAAAAAGGAUGGUACAUCACGUAUGUGUGUUGAUUGUAGAGGCAUUAAUAACAUUACUAUUCGUUAUCGUCAUCCUAUUCCUAGGCUAGAUGAUAUGGUUGAUGAAUUGAGUGGCUCUACAAUAUUCUCCAAAGUUGAUUUGCGUAGUGGAUACCAUCAAAUUCGUAUGAAAUUGGGAGAUGAAUGGAAAACAGCAUUCUGAUGAGGACAUCAAUACAAUUGUUACACCCACAGCCCCUGCUGCUAUACAUACUGGACCAAUUACUAGAGCUCGUGCACGCCAACUAAAUUACCAGGUACUUUCGUUUCUUGGUAAUGAUUCUAAUGUUCAUGAGAAUAUGAUGCUGCCUAAAUUGGAUACAUUUGUUUUGCUUACAAAUGAAGGGCCUAGCUUGGAGAAGGAUGAACAUUGGAGCAAGAACAAGCAUGGAGAUGAUGGCAUGCGCAAGGGGAACAAGAACGGAGUUACAAGUGAUGAUUUCAGGACUUUGAAGCCACCAUAAUGGGUGCAUGAAGCCUUGGACGAAAUAUACAAGAUGCCACUUCAUAAAUUUCGUCCCGAGGCUAUUUUAGGUGCUGCGUCACCUUAUUAUUGGGCCAGGCCCAUGUAAUUUCGAACUACAUAAGUAAAGGCUAUUUUUAGAGUCCGUAUGUGUGGGGAAACAAGAGAUAGGGUUGAUUUCGGACCCCUCCACCAAGGGCCACGAAAUUCCCCCCUCUUCCUCCAUAUAUACAGCCCUUAGGGCAUCGUUUAGACUUUGGGUUUUGUUUAGAUUAAAAGUUCGCCAUAGCUGCAACUUCGCGUACUUCGUUUGUGUUCAACGACCAGACAAAGGCGUCACAGAACCCCACCUUGAUCAAUAAAGCUUUCAUCUUAUAUUCGCAAUAUCCAGAUUGCAAUCUCAGUUUCUUGCUUGUUCUUCGUUUGCUCGCAGGAAACAGACCCUCGUGGUCAGGUUGAUCGUGCUCCGGCGUGGUCAAUAACCUCUCGGAGUUGGUUUAGCGAUUGCUAAGGCGCGACGUCCUCGCACGUUCGUAGUCGGAUCGUCAAAGUCGACUUCCACCAAAGCGAAAUCCACCAUCUCAUCGAAAGACGGGACACCUUCGCCUCUAUAAAGUGGUAUCAGAUUUCCAGGUUGCUCGGUGAGAUUUUACAGUUUUUCGUAGUUUAGAUCGAGUCUGUUCUUCAUACCUACAGUCCACGAAAAAGCCACAAAAAAAAUUAGGGUUAGUUCAUCAUAUCCGAACCAAUCUGAGCCUUUGCAUAAUCUUUUUAGGGUUUUGCUUUGUUGAAUUUGCGGUUGCAUCGUCGCGUCUAGUUGCUGGUCUUAGAGUCUAGUCUUUUAGAGUUUCGAGUUCUGGUCAUAAGUUGUCACGCCGCCGCCGCACCAUCAUCAUCGCCCCUGCCAUCUACCACCACCGUUUAUCCGCCACCGCUCCGAAUCCGUAUCCAUAUACCACCACCGAUUCAUAUACCACCACCGAUUCAUAUCCAUAUCCAUAUACUACCACCGCUACCACCACCGCUGCCAUAUACCACCACCAUAUAUCCACCACCAAUCCGAGUUCCUUGCUUAUUAGGGUUGUUUUCGAGAUCCAUCUAGUUUCCGAUUCGUGUUUCCUUGCCGGUCUUAGAGUCGGGUAGCCACGCUCCGUUUAGGCCCAAAAUUUUUCGAAAACGCAUUUUUCGAAAAAAUUUCUGGCUAUCCUAUUUUUAGGUGUUUCUGAGUGUUUUGAGACAGGUGCCAUUAUAGGAAGUUUUUUUUGACCCGUUUCCAGAUUUUGGGUCCGGGCAGUCAAAAAAAAAAUUGGUCGAAAAAAUUUCGUGCCCAUCCUGUCAGUUUGAGCUACGAAGAGUUUUGAGACACUCGCCAUUAUAGUGAUUUUUCGCAAAAAAAAAGAGCGCAAAAAAAAAGCAGCGCAAAAAAAAGAGCGAAAAAAAAUUCAGAGUGUGCUUUCCCUUGUUUACGUGCCGCGCCGUGAUUUUGUUGGUGUUCUAGGCUCGCGUCUCUAGCACAGUCUAGCCUAGGACCAGCACAGUACCGUCGUUGAGCGUUUAUUCAACUUUGCAUCUCUGAAUUGAUUAUUGCUGACCCUUUUUGCUACCAUACUAUAAGCCUUCCCAGCUCCACAUACAUCUACGUCGUGUGUUUGACUCUCCCUGGUAAUCGCUCUAUCCAAGCUUUGAGAGUUUUUGACUACAACGGUUGCCGAUCACCGCCUGCUGCUGGGUAAGAACUGGUAAGAAUUUGAGAUUUGCUUGACAGAUUUGUGAUACACCACCACCACUUCUUAGUAGUCUGUAGGAUCAUAUUCUUGUGUGUUUCUCUUGCUGCUAACCAUGCCAGGAUCACAAGCCGACGAGAUUGACUGGGAGAACUUAUCGAACAAGGAGCUUCAUGAUAAGUUUCAGCAAAUGAUGACUGAACAGGUACAAGAUGUGCUGAACAAUUUUGAAGAGGCCAUGGAGAAGAUCAUUGGCCUUGAGAAGACGUUCGAAACAAAGCUCGAUAACAGAUUUAAUGAACUGCUUGCGCGUCUUCCACCACCGGCUGCACCUGUCGCACCUCUGCAACAACAACAACUACGCCCCCUUCCGAAUCAGUAUGGACGAGCACAGCGUGUUCCUAUUGUGCCAGGACAAAAUUCUGGUGCCGCUGCUACUGCUGUUGGUGCUUCUUUGGCUCCUGCUACUGCUCCUGCUGGUACCCAGGAGGAUGAUGAGUAUGCGGGUGAUUAUGAGGAUGAGGUUGAUCAAAAUCAGAUCUACGAGCAGCCACCAGCACCACCACCACCAGGUCGACCUCAGGUAUAUAUUCGUCAUGGUAGGCCUGCACCACCACCUCAGGUACGCGAUGAUGUCCAUAUUCCUAAACUGAAAUUGAAUAUUCCACCAUUUGAGGGUAGAUAUGUUCCAGAUAUAUAUCUUACUUGGGAGUUAGAAACUGAACAACGAUUUACAUGUUUACAAUAUCCUGAGGAGAGACGAGUUGCUGCUGCUGUUUGUGCUUUCACUAGUUUUGCAUGUGUAUGGUGGUCUGAACAUUGUAGAUUAUAUCCUAUUCCAACUACUUGGGCUGCUUUGAAAACUGCUAUGCGUACGCGUUGGGUUCCACCAUAUUAUCAACGUGAAUUGCUUCAAAAAUUGCAGCGUUUAAGACAAGGGAAAAAUUCUGUAGAAGAAUAUUAUCAGGAAUUACAAACUGGCAUGAUUAGAUGUGGUAUUGUUGAGGAGAAUGAAGCUAUGCUUGCACGUUUUCUGGGUGGAUUAAAUAGAGAGAUUCAGACCAUUUUAGACUAUAAGGAGUAUACUAAUAUCACUCGUUUAUUCCAUCUUGCUUGUAAAGUUGAACGUGAAGUGCAGGAUCGACAAGCAUUGGGGCGAACUAACUUUUCUGCAGGCCGACCUUCAUCAUGGACACCACGUGCAUCUUCUACUUCAACUGCACCAGCACCUCCAUCCGGUGCCACCUCCAGCCGUGAUACAAGAAAACAGGCACAACCACCAUUAUCUGCCAAGAGCGCACCUGCGGGGCCUGCACAGCGUUCUUCUUCUUCCAUGGCAUCAACAGGGCACACAAGUGAUAUUAUUUGUCGUCGUUGUAAGGGAGGAGGUCAUUAUGCGAGGGAAUGCAAAUCUCCGCGUGUGAUGAUUGCUACCGCGGAUGGUGGAUAUGAGUCCGCUAGUGACUAUGAUGAGGAGACAUUGGCUCUUAUUACACGUGAAGAACAUGGUGGAGAUGAUUUUGAUCAUGAGACGCAAUACAUGGCUCCUGAAGACGCUGACAGGUAUGAAUGUUUAGUUGCUCAACGUGUUUUGAGUGUGCAGGUCACACAAGCUGAGCAAAAUCAGAGGCACAAUUUGUUCCAUACCAAGGGAGUUGUGAAGGAACGUUCUGUGCGCGUCAUAAUAGACGGAGGGAGCUGCAACAACUUGGCUAGCAUGGAGAUGGUGGAGAAGCUUUCUCUCACCACAAGACCACAUCCACAUCCUUACUACAUCCAAUGGUUCAACAACAGUGGCAAGGUUAAGGUAACACGUACUGUUCGUGUGCAUUUUUGAUGAGGACAUCAAUACAAUUGUUACACCCACAGCCCCUGCUGCUAUACAUACUGGACCAAUUACUAGAGCUCGUGCACGCCAACUAAAUUACCAGGUACUUUCGUUUCUUGGUAAUGAUUCUAAUGUUCAUGAGAAUAUGAUGCUGCCUAAAUUGGAUACAUUUGUUUUGCUUACAAAUGAAGGGCCUAGCUUGGAGAAGGAUGAACAUUGGAGCAAGAACAAGCAUGGAGAUGAUGGCAUGCGCAAGGGAAACAAGAACGGAGUUACAAGUGAUGAUUUCAGGACUUUGAAGCCACCAUAAUGGGUGCAUGAAGCCUUGGACGAAAUAUACAAGAUGACACUUCAUAAAUUUCGUCCCGAGGCUAUUUUAGGUGCUGCGUCACCUUAUUAUUGGGCCAGGCCCAUGUAAUUUCGAAAUACAUAAGUAUAGGCUAUUUUUAGAGUCCGUAUGUGUGGGGAAACAAGAGAUAGGGUUGAUUUCGGACCCCUCCACCAAGGGCCACGAAAUUCCCCCCCUCUUCCUCCAUAUAUACAGCCCUUAGGGCAUCGUUUAGACUUUGGGUUUUGUUUAGAUUAAAAGUUCGCCAUAGCUGCAACUUCGCGUACUUCGUUUGUGUUCAACGACCAGACAAAGGCGUCACAGAACCCCACCUUGAUCAAUAAAGCUUUCAUCUUAUAUUCGCAAUAUCCAGAUUGCAAUCUCAGUUUCUUGCUUGUUCUUCGUUUGCUCGCAGGAAACAGACCCUCGUGGUCAGGUUGAUCGUGCUCUGGCGUGGUCAAUAACCUCUUGGAGUUGGUUUAGCGAUUGCUAAGGCGCGACGUCCUCGCACGUUCGUAGUCGGAUCGUCAAAGUCGACUGCCACCAAAGCGAUAUCCAUCAUCUCAUCGAAAGACGGGACACCUUUGCCUCUAUCAAGUGGUAUCAGAUUUCCAGGUUGCUCGGUGAGAUUUUACAGUUUUUCGUAGUUUAGAUCGAGUCUGUUCUUCAUACCUACAGUCCACGAAAAAGCCACAAAAAAAAUUAGGGUUAGUUCAUCAUAUCCGAACCAAUCUGAGCCUUUGCAUAAUCUUUUUAGGGUUUUGCUUUGUUGAAUUUGCGGUUGCAUCGUCGUGUCUAGUUGCUGGUCUUAGAGUCUAGUCUUUUAGAGUUUCGAGUUCUGGUCAUAAGUUGUCACGCCGCCGCCGCACCAUCAUCAUCGCCCCUGCCAUCUACCACCACCGCUUAUCCGCCACCGCUCCGAAUCCGUAUCCAUAUACCACCACCGAUCCAUAUCCAUAUACUACCACCGCUGCCAUAUACCACCACCAUAUAUCCACCACCAAUCCGAGUUCCUUGCAUAUUAGGCUUGUUUUCGAGAUCCAUCUAGAUUCCGAUUCGUGUUUCCUUGCCGGAGUAGGUUUCAAAAAAAAAAAAAAUUUGAGACACUCGCCAUUUAGGCCCAAAAUUUUUCGAAAACGCAUUUUUCGAAAAAUUUUCUGGCUAUCCUAUUUUUAGGUGUUUCUGAGUGUUUUGAGACAGGUGCCAUUAUAGGAAGUUUUUUUGACCUGUUUCCAGCUUUUGGGUCCGGGCAGUCGAAAAAAAAAAUUGGUUGAAAAAAAAAAUUUCGUGCCNNNNNNNNNNNNNNNNNNNNNNNNNNNNNNNNNNNNNNNNNNNNNNNNNNNNNNNNNNNNNNNNNNNNNNNNNNNNNNNNNNNNNNNNNNNNNNNNNNNNNNNNNNNUUCAUAGUGUGCUUUUCCCUUGUUUACGUGCCGCGCCGUGAUUUUGUUGGUGUUCUAGGCUCGCGUCUCUAGCACAGUCUAGCCUAGGACCAGCACAGUACCGUCGUUGAGCGUUUAUUCAACUUUGCAUCUCUGAAUUGAUUAUUGCUGACCCUUUUUGCUACCAUACUAUAAGCCUUCCCAGCUCCACAUACAUCUACGUCGUGUGUUUGACUCUCCCUGGUAAUGGCUCUAUCCAAGCUUUGAGAGUUUUUGACUACAACGGUUGCCGAUCACCGCCUGCUGCUGGGUAAGAACUGGUAAGCAUUUGAGAUUUGCUUGACGGAUUUGUGAUACACCACCACCACUUCUUAGUAGUCUGUAGGAUCAUAUUCUUGUGUGUUUCUAUUGCUGCUAACCAUGCCAGGAUCACAAGCCGACGAGAUUGACUGGGAGAACUUAUCGAACAAGGAGCUUCAUGAUAAGUUUCAGCAAAUGAUGACUGAACAGGUACAAGAUGUGCUGAACAAUUUUGAAGAGGCCAUGGAGAAGAUCACUGGCCUUGAGAAGACGUUCGAAACAAAGCUCGAUAACAGAUUUAAUGAACUGCUUGCGCGUCUUCCACCACCGGCUGCACCUGUCGCACCUCUGCAACAACAACAACUACGCCCCCUUCCGAAUCAGUAUGGACGAGCACAGCGUGUUCCUAUUGUGCCAGGACAAAAUUCUGGUGCCGCUGUUACUGCUGUUGGUGCUUCUUUGGCUCCUGCUACUGCUCCUGCUGGUACCCAGGAGGAUGAUGAGUAUGCGGGCGAUUAUGAGGAUGAGGUUGAUCAAAAUCAGAUCUACGAGCAGCCACUAGCACCACCACCAGCAGGUCGACCUCAGGUAUAUAUUCGUAAUGGUAGGCCUGCACCACCACCUCAGGUACGAGAUGAUGUCCAUAUUCCUAAACUGAAAUUGAAUAUUCCACCAUUUGAGGGUAGAUAUGUUCCUGAUAUAUAUCUUACUUGGGAGUUAGAAACUGAACAACGAUUUACAUGUUUACAAUAUCCUGAGGAGAGACGAGUUGCUGCUGCUUUUUGUGCUUUCACUAGUUUUGCAUGUGUAUGGUGGUCUGAACAUUGUAGAUUAUAUCCUAUUCCAACUACUUGGGCUGCUUUGAAAACUGCUAUGCGUACGCGUUGGGUUCCACCAUAUUAUCAACGUGAAUUGCUUCAAAAAUUGCAGCGUUUAAGACAAGGGAAAAAUUCUGUAGAAGAAUAUUAUCAGGAAUUACAAACUGGCAUGAUUAGAUGUGGUAUUGUUGAGGAGAAUGAAGCUAUGCUUGCACGUUUUCUGGGUGGAUUAAAUAGAGAGAUUCAGACCAUUUUAGACUAUAAGGAGUAUACUAAUAUCACUCGUUUAUUCCAUCUUGCUUGUAAAGCUGAACGUGAAGUGCAGGAUCGACAAGCAUUGGGGCGAACUAAUUUUUCUGCAGGCCGACCUUCAUCAUGGACACCACGUGCAUCUUCUACUUCAACUGCACCAGCACCUCCAUCCGGUGCCACCUCCAGCCGUGAUACAAGAAAACAGGCACAACCACCAUUAUCUGCCAAGAGCGCACCUGCGGGGCCUGCACAGCGUUCUUCUUCUUCCAUGGCAUCAACAGGGCACACAAGUGAUAUUAUUUGUCGUCGUUGUAAGGGAGGAGGUCAUUAUGCGAGGGAAUGCAAAUCUCCGCGUGUGAUGAUUGCUAACGCGGAUGGUGGAUAUGAGUCCGCUAGUGACUAUGAUGAGGAGACAUUGGCUCUUAUUACACGUGAAGAACAUGGUGGAGAUGAUUCUGAUCAUGAGACGCAAUACAUGGCUCCUGAAGACGCUGACAGGUAUGAAUGUUUAGUUGCUCAACGUGUUUUGAGUGUGCAGGUCACACAAGCUGAGCAAAAUCAGAGGCACAAUUUGUUCCAUACCAAGGGAGUUGUGAAGGAACGUUCUGUGCGCGUCAUAAUAGACGGAGGGAGCUGCAACAACUUGGCUAGCAUGGAGAUGGUGGAGAAGCUUUCUCUCACCACAAGACCACAUCCACAUCCUUACUACAUCCAAUGGUUCAACAACAGCGGCAAGGUUAAGGUAACACGUACUGUUCGUGUGCAUUUUAGUAUCUCUACAUAUGCUGAUUAUGUUGAUUGUGAUGUGGUACCUAUGCAAGCAUGUUCUUUAUUACUUGGUAGACCAUGGCAAUUUGAUAAAAAUUCUGUACACCAUGGUAGAAACAAUCACUAUACUCUUGUUCAUAAGGAUAAAAAUAUUACUUUGCUUCCUAUGACUCCUGAUUCCAUUUUGAAAGAUGAUAUUAAUAGAGCUAAUAAAGCACAACAGGAGAAGAAUAAGAGUGAAAAUCAGAUUGUGGCAAAAGAAUUUGAGCAACAAAUGAAGCAUAAUAAUAAACCAUCUAGUGUUGCUUUUGAAAUUAAAUUGAAAAGUGCAUGUUUAUUUGCCACCAAAUCUGAUAUUGAUGAGCUAGAUUUCAGCAAAUCUGUUUGCUAUGCUUUUGUGUGCAAAGAGGCAUUAUUUUCAUUCGAGGACGUGCCUUCCUCUUUGCCUCCUGCUGUCACUAACAUUUUGCAGGAGUUCGCUGACGUUUUUCCACAAGACGUGCCACCGGGAUUACCGCCUAUUCGAGGGAUUGAGCAUCAGAUUGACUUAAUUCCCGGUGCUUCACUGCCAAACCGUGCACCAUACCGUACCAAUCCAGAGGAGACGAAGGAGAUUAUGCGUCAAGUACAAGAGCUUCUCGACAAAGGUUAUAUACGCGAAUCCCUUAGUCCUUGUGCUGUUCCUAUUAUUCUAGUGCCGAAAAAGGAUGGUACAUCACGUAUGUGUGUUGAUUGUAGAGGCAUUAAUAAUAUUACCAUUCGUUAUCGUCAUCCUAUUCCUAGGCUAGAUGAUAUGCUUGAUGAAUUGAGUGGCUCUACAAUAUUCUCCAAAGUUGAUUUGCGUAGUGGCUACCAUCAAAUUCGUAUGAAAUUGGGAGAUGAAUAGAAAACAGCAUUUAAAACUAAGUUUGGAUUAUAUGAGUGGUUAGUCACGCCUUUUGGGUUAACUAAUGCACCUAGUACUUUCAUGAGAUUAAUGAACGAAGUUUUACGUGCUUUCAUUGGACGAUUUGUGGUAGUCUAUUUUGAUGAUAUACUGAUUUAUAGCAGAUCUUUGGAAGAACAUUUGGAACAUUUACGUGCUGUUUUUAUUGCUCUACGUGAUGCACGUUUGUUUGGUAACCUUGGGAAGUGCACCUUUUGCACCGACCGAGUAUCUUUUCUUGGCUAUGUUGUUACUCCACAGGGAAUUGAAGUUGACAAAGCCAAGAUUGAAGCUAUUGAGAGUUGGCCGCAGCCUAAAACGGUCACACAGGUGAGGAGUUUUCUUGGCCUCGCUGGAUUCUAUAGGCGUUUUGUGAGAGAUUUCAGCACCAUUGCUGCACCUCUCAACGAGCUUACAAAGAAGGAUGUGCCUUUUGUUUGGGGUACCGCACAGGAAGAAGCCUUCACGGUAUUGAAAGAUAAGUUGACACAUGCUCCUUUACUCCAACUUCCUGAUUUUAAUAAGACUUUUGAGAUUGAAUGUGAUGCUAGUGGAAUUGGAUUAGGCGGUGUGUUAUUACAAGAUGGCAAACCUGUUGCAUACUUUUCUGAAAAAUUGAGUGGGCCUAGUCUGAAUUAUUCUACUUAUGAUAAAGAAUUAUAUGCUCGUGUUCGGACUUUAGAAACAUGGCAACAUUAUUUAUGGCCCAAAGAAUUUGUUAUACAUUCUGAUCAUGAAUCUUUGAAACAUAUUAAAAGUCAAGCUAAACUGAAUCGUAGACAUGCUAAAUGGGUUGAAUUCAUUGAGACUUUCCCUUAUGUCAUUAAACACAAGAAGGGAAAAGAAAAUGUUAUUGCUGAUGCAUUGUCUCGUCGCUAUACUAUGCUUUCACAACUUGACUUCAAAAUAUUUGGUUUGGAGACUAUCAAAGAUCAAUAUGUGCAUGAUGCUGAUUUUAAAGAUGUAAUGCAAAAUUGUAAAGAAGGAAGAAUGUGGAACAAGUUUGUUGUUAACGAUGGAUUUGUGUUUCGUGCUAACAAGCUAUACAUUCCAGCUAGCUCCGUUCGUCUUUUGUUGUUGCAGGAGGCGCAUGGAGGAGGAUUAAUGGGACACUUUGGCGUGAAGAAGACGGAGGACGUACUUGCUACACAUUUCUUUUGGCCAAAGAUGAGACGGGAUGUUGAGCGUUUUAUUGCUCGCUGCACUACAUGUCAAAAAGCUAAGUCACGACUCAAUCCUCAUGGUUUAUAUAUGCCUUUGCCUGUACCUAGUGUUCCUUGGGAGGAUAUAUCUAUGGACUUUGUUUUAGGUUUACCUCGAACAAAGAAGGGGAGGGAUAGCAUAUUUGUUGUCGUGGAUAGAUUCUCGAAAAUGGCACACUUUAUACCAUGUCAUAAAAGUGAUGAUGCUGUUAAUGUUGCUGAUUUGUUCUUUCGUGAAAUUAUUCGCUUGCAUGGUGUGCCAAAUACUAUUGUUUCAGAUCGUGAUACUAAAUUUCUUAGCCACUUUUGGAGAUUUUUAUGGGCUAAGUUGGGGACUAAACUACUUUUUAGUACUACUUGUCACCCCCAAACUGAUGGACAAACUGAAGUAGUCAAUAGAACGUUGUCUACUAUGCUUAGGGCUGUUUUGAAGAAUAAUAAGAAAAUGUGGGAGGAAUGCUUGCCUCAUAUUGAAUUUGCUUUCGUUCAUUGCAUUCUACUACUAAGAUGUGCCCUUUUGAAGUUGUGUAUGGUUUCCUACCUCGUGCACCUAUUGAUUUGUUGCCUCUUCCAUCUUCGGAGAAGGUUAAUUUUGAUGCUAAACAACGUGCUGAAUUGAUUUUAAAAAUGCAUGAGUUAACUAAGGAAAACAUUGAGCGCAUGAAUGCUAAAUAUAAACUUGCUGGAGAUAAGGGUAGAAAACAUGUUGUGUUUGCACCUGGAGAUCUUGUUUGGUUACAUUUGCGUAAGGAUAGAUUUCCUGAUUUGCGCAAAUCAAAGUUAAUGCCACGUGCUGAUGGUCCCUUUAAGGUGUUAGAGAAAAUAAAUGAUAAUGCAUAUAAACUUGAGCUGCCUGCAGAUUUUGGGGUUAGUCCCACUUUUAACAUUGCAGAUUUGAAGCCUUAUUUGGGUGAGGAAGAUGAACUUCCGUCGAGGACGACUUCAUUUAAAGAAGGGGAGGAUGAUGAGGACAUCAAUACAAUUGUGACACCCACAGCCCCUGCUGCUAUACAUACUGGAGCAAUUACUAGAGCUCGUGCACGCCAACUAAAUUACCAGGUACUUUCGUUUCUUGGUAAUAAUUCUAAUGUUCAUGAGAAUAUGAUGCUGCCUAAAUUGGAUACAUUUGUUUUGCUUACAAAUGAAGGGCCUAGCUUGGAGAAGGAUGAACAUUGGAGCAAGAACAAGCAUGGAGAUGAUGGCAUGCGCAAGGGGAACAAGAACGGAGUUACAAGUGAUGAUUUCAGGACUUUGAAGCCACCAUAAUGGGUGCAUGAAGCCUUGGACGAAAUAUACAAGAUGCCACUUCAUAAAUUUCGUCCCGAGGCUAUUUUAGGUGCUGCGUCACCUUAUUAUUGGGCCAGGCCCAUGUAAUUUCGAACUACAUAAGUAAAGGCUAUUUUUAGAGUCCGUAUGUGUGGGGAAACAAGAGAUAGGGUUGAUUUCGGACCCCUCCACCAAGGGCCACGAAAUUCCCCCCUCUUCCUCCAUAUAUACAGCCCUUAGGGCAUCGUUUAGACUUUGGGUUUUGUUUAGAUUAAAAGUUCGCCAUAGCUGCAACUUCGCGUACUUCGUUUGUGUUCAACGACCAGACAAAGGCGUCACAGAACCCCACCUUGAUCAAUAAAGCUUUCAUCUUAUAUUCGCAAUAUCCAGAUUGCAAUCUCAGUUUCUUGCUUGUUCUUCGUUUGCUCGCAGGAAACAGACCCUCGUGGUCAGGUUGAUCGUGCUCCGGCGUGGUCAAUAACCUCUCGGAGUUGGUUUAGCGAUUGCUAAGGUGCGACGUCCUCGCACGUUCGUAGUCGGAUCGUCAAAGUCGACUUCCACCAAAGCGAAAUCCACCAUCUCAUCGAAAGACGGGACACCUUUGCCUCUAUCAACAAGUAGUACUAAAAAGCAGUUUAGUCCCCAACUUAGCCCAUAAACAUCUCCAAAAGUGGCUAAGAAAUUUAGUAUCACGAUCUGAAACAAUAGUAUUUGGCACACCAUGCAAGCGAAUAAUUUCACGAAAGAACAAAUCAGCAACAUUAACAGCAUCAUCGCUUUUAUGACAUGGUAUAAAGUGUGCCAUUUUCGAGAAUCUAUCCACGACAACAAAUAUGCUAUCCCUCCCCUUCUUUGUUCGAGGUAAACCUAAAACAAAGUCCAUAGAUAUAUCCUCCCAAGGAACACUAGGUACAGGCAAAGGCAUAUAUAAACCAUGAGGAUUGAGUCGUGACUUAGCUUUUUGACAUGUAGUGCAUCGAGCAAUAAAACGCUCAACAUCCCGUCUCAUCUUUGGCCAAAAGAAAUGUGUAGCAAGUACGUCCUCCUGCAACAACAAAAGACGAACGGAGCUAGCUGGAAUGCAUAGCUUGUUAGCACGAAACACAAAUCCAUCGUUAACGACGAACUUGUUCCACAUUCUUCCUUCUUUACAAUUCUGCAUUACAUCUUUAAAAUCAGCAUCAUGCACAUAUUGAUCUUUGAUGGUCUCCAAACCAAAUAUUUUGAAGUCAAGUUGUGAAAGCAUAGUAUAGCGGCGAGACAAUGCAUCAGCAAUAACAUUUUCUUUUCCCUUCUUGUGUUUAAUGACAUAAGGAAAAGUCUCAAUGAAUUCAACCCAUUUAGCAUGUCUACGAUUCAGUUUAGCUUGACUUUUAAUAUGUUUCAAAGAUUCAUGAUCAGAAUGUAUAACAAAUUCUUUGGGCCAUAAAUAAUGUUGCCAUGUUUCUAAAGUCCGAACAAGAGCAUAUGAUAGAGGCAAAGGUGUCCCGUCUUUCGAUGAGAUGAUGGAUAUCGCUUUGGUGGCAGUCGACUUUGACGAUCCGACUACGAACGUGCGAGGACGUCGCGCCUUAGCAAUCGCUAAACCAACUCCGAGAGGUUAUUGACCACGCCGGAGCACGAUCAACCUGACCACGAGGGUCUGUUUCCUGCGAGCAAACGAAGAACAAGCAAGAAACUGAGAUUGCAAUCUGGAUAUUGCGAAUAUAAGAUGAAAGCUUUAUUGAUCAAGGUGGGGUUCUGUGACGCCUUUGUCUGGUCGUUGAACACAAACGAAGUACGCGAAGUUGCAGCUAUGGCGAACUUUUAAUCUAAACAAAACCCAAAGUCUAAACGAUGCCCUAAGGGCUGUAUAUAUGGAGGAAGAGGGGGGAAUUUCGUGGCCCUUGGUGGAGGGGUCCGAAAUCAACCCUAUCUCUUGUUUCCCCACACAUACGGACUCUAAAAAUAGCCUUUACUUAUGUAGUUCGAAAUUACAUGGGCCUGGCCCAAUAAUAAGGUGACGCAGCACCUAAAAUAGCCUCGGGACGAAAUUUAUGAAGUGGCAUCUUGUAUAUUUCGUCCAAGGCUUCAUGCACCCAUUAUGGUGGCUUCAAAGUCCUGAAAUCAUCACUUGUAACUCCGUUCUUGUUCCCCUUGCGCAUGCCAUCAUCUCCAUGCUUGUUCUUGCUCCAAUGUUCAUCCUUCUCCAAGCUAGGCCCUUCAUUUGUAAGCAAAACAAAUGUAUCCAAUUUAGGCAGCAUCAUAUUCUCAUGAACAUUAGAAUCAUUACCAAGAAACGAAAGUACCUGGUAAUUUAGUUGGCGUGCACGAGCUCUAGUAAUUGGUCCAGUAUGUAUAACAGCAGGGGCUGUGGGUGUAACAAUUGUAUUGAUGUCCUCAUCAUCCUCCCCUUCUUGAAAUGAAGUCAUCCUCGACGGAAGUUCAUCUUCCUCACCCAAAUAAGGCUUCAAAUCUGCAAUGUUAAAAGUGGGACUAACCCCAAAAUCUGCAGGCAGCUCAAGUUUAUAUGCAUUAUCAUUUAUUUUCUCUAACACCUUAAAGGGACCAUCAGCACGUGGCAUUAACUUUGAUUUGCGCAAAUCAGGAAAUCUAUCCUUACGCAAAUGUAACCAAACAAGAUCUCCAGGUGCAAACACAACAUGUUUUCUACCCUUAUCUCCAGCAAGUUUAUAUUUAGCAUUCAUGCGCUCAAUGUUUUCCUUAGUUAACUCAUGCAUUUUUAAAAUCAAUUCAGCACGUUGUUUAGCAUCAAAAUUAACCUUCUCUGAAGAUGGAAGAGGCAACAAAUCAAUAGGUGCACGAGGUAGGAAACCAUACACAACUUCAAAAGGGCACAUCUUAGUAGUAGAAUGCAAUGAACGAUUAUAAGCAAAUUCAAUAUGAGGCAAGCAUUCCUGAUGAGGACAUCAAUACAAUUGUUACACCCACAGCCCCUGCUGCUAUACAUACUGGACCAAUUACUAGAGCUCGUGCACGCCAACUAAAUUAUCAGGUACUUUCGUUUCUUGGUAAUGAUUCUAAUGUUCAUGAGAAUAUGACGCUGCCUAAAUUGGAUACAUUUGUUUUGCUUACAAAUGAAGGGCCUAGCUUGGAGAAGGAUGAACAUUGGAGCAAGAACAAGAAUGGAGUUACAAGUGAUGAUUUCAGGACUUUGAAGCCACCAUAAUGGGUGCAUGAAGCCUUGAACGAAAUAUACAAGAUGCCACUUCAUAAAUUUCGUCCCGAGGCUAUUUUAGGUGCUGCGUCACCUUAUUAUUGGGCCAGGCCCAUGUAAUUUCGAAAUACAUAAGUAUAGGCUAUUUUUAGAGUCCGUAUGUGUGGGGAAACAAGAGAUAGGGUUGAUUUCGGACCCCUCCACCAAGGGCCACGAAAUUCCCCCCUCUUCCUCCAUAUAUACAGCCCUUAGGGCAUCGUUUAGACUUUGGGUUUUGUUUAGAUUAAAAGUUCGCCAUAGCUGCAACUUCGCGUACUUCGUUUGUGUUCAACGACCAGACAAAGGCGUCACAGAACCCCACCUUGAUCAAUAAAGCUUUCAUCUUAUAUUCGCAAUAUCCAGAUUGCAAUCUCAGUUUCUUGCUUGUUCUUCGUUUGCUCGCAGGAAACAGACCCUCGUGGUCAGGUUGAUCAUGCUCCGGCGUGGUCAAUAACCUCUCGGAGUUGGUUUAGCGAUUGCUAAGGCGCGACGUCCUCGCACGUUCGUAGUCGGAUCAUCAAAGUCGACUUCCACCAAAGCGAAAUCCACCAUCUCAUUGAAAGACGGGACACCUUCGCCUCUAUAACAUUCAAAACUAAGUUUGGAUUAUAUGAGUGGUUAGUCAUGCCUUUUGGGUUAACUAAUGCACCUAGUACUUUCAUGAGAUUAAUGAACGAAGUUUUACGUGCUUUCAUUGGACGAUUUGUGGUAGUUUACUUUGAUGACAUAUUGAUUUAUAGCAGAUCUUUGGAAGAACAUUUGGAACAUUUACGUGCUAUUUUUAUUGCUCUACGUGAUGCACAUUUGUUUGGUAACCUUGGGAAGUGCACCUUUUGCACCGAUCGAGUAUCUUUUCUUGGCUAUGUUGUCACUCCACAGGGAAUUGAAGUUGAUAAAGCCAAGAUUGAAGCUAUUGAGAGUUGGCCGCAACCCAAAACAGUCACACAAGUGAGGUUUUUUCUUGGCCUCGCUGGAUUCUAUAGGCGUUUUGUGAGAGAUUUCAGCACCAUUGCUGCACCUCUCAAUGAGCUUACAAAGAAAGAUGUGCCUUUUCUUUGGGGUACCGCACAGGAAGAAGCCUGCUCGGUAUUGAAAGAUAAGUUGACACAUCCUCCUUUACUCCAACUUCCUGAUUUUAAUAAGACUUUUGAGAUUGAAUGUGAUGCUAGUGGAAUUGGAUUAGGCGGUGUGUUAUUACAAGAUGGCAAACCUGUUGCAUACUUUUCUGAAAAAUUGAGUGGGCCUAGUCUGAAUUAUUCUACUUAUGAUAAAGAAUUAUAUGCUCGUGUUCGGACUUUAGAAACAUGGCAACAUUAUUUAUGGCCCAAAGAAUUUGUUAUACAUUCUGAUCAUGAAUCUUUGAAACAUAUUAAAAGUCAAGCUAAACUGAAUCGUAGACAUGCUAAAUGGGUUGAAUUCAUUGAGACUUUUCCUUAUGUCAUUAAACACAAGAAGGGAAAAGAAAAUGUUAUUGCUGAUGCAUUGUCUCGCCGCUAUACUAUGCUUUCACAACUUGACUUCAAAAUAUUUGGUUUGGAGACCAUCAAAGAUCAAUAUGUGCAUGAUGCUGAUUUUAAAGAUGUAAUGCAGAAUUGUAAAGAGGGAAGAAUGUGGAACAAGUUCGUCGUUAACGAUGGAUUUGUGUUUCGUGCUAACAAGCUAUGCAUUCCAGCUAGCUCCGUUCAUCUUUUGUUGUUGCAGGAGGCGCAUGGAGGAGGAUUAAUGGGACACUUUGGCGUGAAGAAGACGGAGGACGUACUUGCUACACAUUUCUUUUGGCCAAAGAUGAGACGGGAUGUUGAGCGUUUUAUUGCUCGCUGCACUACAUGUCAAAAAGCUAAGUCACGACUCAAUCCUCAUGGUUUAUAUAUGCCUUUGCCUGUACCUAGUGUUCCUUGGGAGGAUAUAUCUAUGGACUUUGUUUUAGGUUUACCUCGAACAAAGAAGGGGAGGGAUAGCAUAUUUGUUGUCGUGGAUAGAUUCUCGAAAAUGGCACACUUUAUACCAUGUCAUAAAAGCGAUGAUGCUGUUAAUGUUGUUGAUUUGUUCUUUCGUGAAAUUAUUCGCUUGCAUGGUGUGCCAAAUACUAUUGUUUCAGAUCGUGAUACUAAAUUUCUUAGCCACUUUUGGAGAUGUUUAUGGGCUAAGUUGGGGACUAAACUGCUUUUUAGUACUACUUGUCACCCCCAAACUGAUGGACAAAUUGAAGUAGUCAAUAGAACGUUGUCUACUAUGCUUAGGGCUAUUUUGAAGGAUAAUAAGAAAAUGUGGGAGGAAUGCUUGCCUCAUAUUGAAUUUGCUUAUAAUCGUUCAUUGCAUUCUACUACUAAGAUGUGCCCUUUUGAAGUUGUGUAUGGUUUCCUACCUCGUGCACCUAUUGAUUUGUUGCCUCUUCCAUCUUCGGAGAAGGUUAAUUUUGAUGCUAAACAACGUGCUGAAUUGAUUUUAAAAAUGCAUGAGUUAACUAAGGAAAACAUUGAGCGUAUGAAUGCUAAAUAUAAACUUGCUGGAGAUAAGGGUAGAAAACAUGUUGUGUUUGCACCUGGAGAUCUUGUUUGGUUACAUUUGCGUAAGGAUAGAUUUCCGGAUUUGCGCAAAUCAAAGUUAAUGCCACGUGCUGAUGGUCCCUUUAAGGUGUUAGAGAAAAUAAAUGAUAAUGCAUAUAAACUUGAGCUACCUACAGAUUUUGGGGUUAGUCCCACUUUUAACAUUGCAGAUUUGAAGCCUUAUUUGGGUGAGGAAGAUGAACUUCCGUCGAGGACGACUUUAUUUCAAGAAGGGGAGGAUGAUGAGGACAUCAAUACAAUUGUUACACCCACAGCCCCUGCUGCUAUAAAUACUGGACCAAUUACUGGAGCUCGCGCACGCCAACUAAAUUACCAGGUACUUUCAUUUCUUGGUAAUGAUUCUAAUGUUCAUGAGAAUAUGAUGCUGCCUAAAUUGGAUACAUUUGUUUUGCUUACAAAUGAAGGGCCUAGCUUGGAGAAGGAUGAACAUUGGAUUAAGAACAAGCAUGGAGAUGAUGGCAUGCGCAAGGGGAACAAGAACAGAGUUACAAGUGAUGAUUUCAGGACUUUGAAGCCACCAUAAUGGGUGCAUGAAGCCUUGGACGAAAUAUACAAGAUGGCACUUCAUAAAUUUCGUCCCGAGGCUAUUAUAGGUGCUGCGUCACCUUAUUAUUGGGCCAGGCCCAUGUAAUUUCGAAAUACAUAAGUAUAGGCUAUUUUUAGAGUCCGUAUGUGUGGGGAAACAAGAGAUAGGGUUGAUUUCGGACCCUUCCACCAAGGGUCACGAAAUUCCCCCCUCUUCCUCCAUAUAUACAGCCCUUAGGGCAUCGUUUAGACUUUGGGUUUUGUUUAGAUUAAANNNNNNNNNNNNNNNNNNNNNNNNNNNNNNNNNNNNNNNNNNNNNNNNNNNNNNNNNNNNNNNNNNNNNNNNNNNNNNNNNNNNNNNNNNNNNNNNNNNNNNNNNNNNNNNNNNNNNNNNNNNNNNNNNNNNNNNNNNNNNNNNNNNNNNNNNNNNNNNNNNNNNNNNNNNNNNNNNNNNNNNNNNNNNNNNNNNNNNNNNNNNNNNNNNNNNNNNNNNNNNNNNNNNNNNNNNNNNNNNNNNNNNNNNNNNNNNNNNNNNNNNNNNNNNNNNNNNNNNNNNNNNNNNNNNNNNNNNNNNNNNNNNNNNNNNNNNNNNNNNNNNNNNNNNNNNNNNNNNNNNNNNNNNNNNNNNNNNNNNNNNNNNNNNNNNNNNNNNNNNNNNNNNNNNNNNNNNNNNNNNNNNNNNNNNNNNNNNNNNNNNNNNNNNNNNNNNNNNNNNNNNNNNNNNNNNNNNNNNNNNNNNNNNNNNNNNNNNNNNNNNNNNNNNNNNNNNNNNNNNNNNNNNNNNNNNNNNNNNNNNNNNNNNNNNNNNNNNNNNNNNCAAUAUCCAGAUUGCAAUCUCAGUUUCUUGCUUGUUCUUCGUUUGCUCGCAGGAAACAGACCCUCGUGGUCAGGUUGAUCGUGCUCCGGCGUGGUUAUUGCAUCAUCUCCAUGAGCAGGGUCUGUUUCCUGCGAGCAAACGAAGAACAAGCAAGAAACUAAGAUUGCAAUCUGGAUAUUGCGAAUAUAAGAUGAAAGCUUUAUUGAUCAAGGUGGGGUUCUGUGACGCCUUUGUCUGGUCGUUGAACACAAACGAAGUACGCGAAGUUGCAGCUAUGGCGAACUUUUAAUCUAAACAAAACCCAAAGUCUAAACGGUGCCCUAAGGGCUGUAUAUAUGGAGGAAGAGAGGGGGAAUUUCGUGGCCCUUGGUGGAGGGGUCCGAAAUCAACCCUAUCUCUGGUUUCCCCACACAUACGGACUCUAAAAAUAGCCUAUACUUAUGUAUUUCGAAAUUACAUGGGCCUGGCCCAAUAAAAAGGUGACGCAGCACCUAUAAUAGCCUCGGGACGAAAUUUAUGAAGUGGCAUCUUGUAUAUUUCGUCCAAGGCUUCAUGCACCCAUUAUGGUUCUUGUUCCCCUUGCGCAUAGCAUCAUCUCCAUGCUUGUUCUUGCUCCAAUGUUCAUCCUUCUCCAAGCUAGGCCCUUCAUUUGUAAGCAAAACAAAUGUAUCCAAUUUAGGCAGCAUCAUAUUCUCAUGAACAUUAGAAUCAUUACCAAGAAACGGAAGUACCUGAUAAUUUAAUUGGCGUGCACGAGCUCUAGUAAUUGGUCCCGUAUAUGUAGCAGUAGGGGCUGUGGGUGUAACAAUGGUAUUGAUGUCCUCAUCAAUGGAAAGCGCCUGGGAAACUCGGGCAGCUCACUAGGCACCACCAACCCCAACCCAACUUCCCCUACAGGCGAAAAGGGUGUACCCUCGGGGCACGCCCAGUCCAACAGUCAAAAAACACAAAGCCGCUAUACGGCACGACACUGUUCUGGAAGGGUGGCUCGAUGGCCCAUGCAAAAUGCAUACAUCAACAGAUGAUGUGGCAACCCACAGCCUUAGAGCAUGUUGGAUACUACGACGGGUAGCCAAGAGCGGUGAGGACAUCCUUAUCAAGGACGCCCUGGAACAACACCCCUCAGUAGACGACGACCCAAGAGUAUUGACAGUCUUCGAGACAUUCGCUUCAAAUAACAAGCGCAAAAGGGCAGUUCGCGAGCUCAACAAAGUCUGCCAAAUUGCUGUAAUAAACCCAUGGAACGACACGGCAAUAACAUUCAACGCCGGUGAGGAACCCAAGUAUAGAACAGUACGAGCACCAGCCGCGUUAGUCCUCAGCCCCAUCGUGGACGGGUUUCGACUCCCCAAGGUCCUCAUGGACGGCGGCAGCGGACUAAAUCUCAUGUAUGAGGGCACACUCCAUAAAAUGGAAAUAGACAGGAGCCGCAUCAAACAAAGUAACACAACCUUCCGGGGAAUUAUUCCUAGUCCGGAGGCGCGGUGCGCGGGCAAAAUCACACUUGACGUGGUGAUGAGGACAUGACUACCUUGGAUAUGACCAAAAAUAUUGCAUAUAUGCAUAUUUGUCAGGUGAUUUCUAGUGCAAACUAUUCAAUAAUCUAUUUAUGUUAUCCAGAACAAAAAUACUUCACACACUUUUGUGUUUUGUCUAAUUGCAGGUGUAUGGGACAUUUGUACAAUCCACAUAUGAAGAUAAGGAAGAAAGAGAUGUUUAUUUGCUGUCCAAAAAGUUCUCUCACGUCACUUUUGGCCCAAGAGAAGAUAGAGUCCAAGUCUCUCACGUUCUGGAUUCAGAUUCGGACUGCACAAACACACCUGACUCAAAACGCACACAAGUUUUUCAUACAGACUCCGAAUUGGGUGAUUCUUUUUUUGUUGGAAACUAGAUUUCGUGCACUUUCCAACCCAAUUGGAAUCACCAUCAAAUUCGUCCGGAGCGUUGAGUUGUGGACGAAACAAUCUAAUGCUGCAGCAGAAUCCGAGUCAAACUACAAGUCCAAAGGUGUUACAUCACCUCCACUUGGGCCCAUUGGCCUUGUACGACCUAGAUUUAGUUUUAGGCUGCCUUGGGACGUCCUCCCACCUCCGUGGCCGCCACCCCUUGCUCCUAUAUAAGUAGAUCCAUCUAGUAGCUUUUCCUUGGGAUUUGUUUAGUUAAAAGUUAGCCAUUGCAACUUCGUGUACUUUGUUUGUGUCCAACGACCAGACCAAGACCGCUUACGGAUCCCCACCAUUAUCAAUACCUCAUAUAUAUUUGCAAUAUUCAGAUUGCUUUAUCAUAUUCUUGCUCGUUCUUCGAUUGCUUGCAGGAAUAGACCUUCGUGGUCAGGCUAACCGUGCUUCCGGCAUCGUCAGUAACCUCAGGAGAUUGGUUUAGCGAUUGCUAAGGCGCAACGUCGUGCAUGUUUGUAGUCGGAUCGUCAAAGUCGUCUCCACCAAAUCGAUAGUUAUCAUCUCAUCGAAAGAUCGGGACACCCUCGCCUCUAUCAAGUGGUAUCAGUUUUCAGGUUGCUCGGUGAGAAUUUCUAGUUUUCCUAGAUUAGAUUUACUUUCUUACCUAUUGUCCAAGAAAAAGCCACAAAAAAGAGUUAGAUCUAUUCAUCCUUGGUCCAAGCCAGUCUGAGCCUUUGCAAUUUUCUUUUCAUUGAUUGCAUAGUUGAAUUAUCGAUUGCAUCACCGUGUCGAGUUGGUGGUCUUAGUGUCUAGUUCGUUUAGAGUUUCGAGUUCUGUUCACAUUAGUCACGCCACCGCUGCAUCAUUAUCUCUUCCGCUGUCCACCACCCAUCCAUCAAUUUCCACCACGUGCUACCCACCAUUCAUUGUCAUAAUAAUAGUUGAGAUCGUUCACAUCUUCACUUGAUCCAAUCUGCAUCUUAUUUAGUUUGUUUUGGAAAGAGGGAGAAACAAAGAGAGAAAAAAAACGAGAGAAAAAAAAGGAAAAAAAAGUCAGAGAAAAAAANNNNNNNNNNNNNNNNNNNNNNNNNNNNNNNNNNNNNNNNNNNNNNNNNNNNNNNNNNNNNNNNNNNNNNNNNNNNNNNNNNNNNNNNNNNNNNNNNNNNNNNNNNNNNNNNNNNNNNNNNNNNNNNNNNNNNNNNNNNNNNNNNNNNNNNNNNNNNNNNNNNNNNNNNNNNNNNNNNNNNNNNNNNNNNNNNNNNNNNNNNNNNNNNNNNNNNNNNNNNNNNNNNNNNNNNNNNNNNNNNNNNNNNNNNNNNNNNNNNNNNNNNNNNNNNNNNNNNNNNNNNNNNNNNNNNNNNNNNNNNNNNNNNNNNNNNNNNNNNNNNNNNNNNNNNNNNNNNNNNNNNNNNNNNNNNNNNNNNNNNNNNNNNNNNNNNNNNNNNNNNNNNNNNNNNNNNNNNNNNNNNNNNNNNNNNNNNNNNNNNNNNNNNNNNNNNNNNNNNNNNNNNNNNNNNNNNNNNNNNNNNNNNNNNNNNNNNNNNNNNNNNNNNNNNNNNNNNNNNNNNNNNNNNNNNNNNNNNNNNNNNNNNNNNNNNNNNNNNNNNNNNNNNNNNNNNNNNNNNNNNNNNNNNNNNNNNNNNNNNNNNNNNNNNNNNNNNNNNNNNNNNNNNNNNNNNNNNNNNNNNNNNNNNNNNNNNNNNNNNNNNNNNNNNNNNNNNNNNNNNNNNNNNNNNNNNNNNNNNNNNNNNNNNNNNNNNNNNNNNNNNNNNNNNNNNNNNNNNNNNNNNNNNNNNNNNNNNNNNNNNNNNNNNNNNNNNNNNNNNNNNNNNNNNNNNNNNNNNNNNNNNNNNNNNNNNNNNNNNNNNNNNNNNNNNNNNNNNNNNNNNNNNNNNNNNNNNNNNNNNNNNNNNNNNNNNNNNNNNNNNNNNNNNNNNNNNNNNNNNNNNNNNNNNNNNNNNNNNNNNNNNNNNNNNNNNNNNNNNNNNNNNNNNNNNNNNNNNNNNNNNNNNNNNNNNNNNNNNNNNNNNNNNNNNNNNNNNNNNNNNNNNNNNNNNNNNNNNNNNNNNNNNNNNNNNNNNNNNNNNNNNNNNNNNNNNNNNNNNNNNNNNNNNNNNNNNNNNNNNNNNNNNNNNNNNNNNNNNNNNNNNNNNNNNNNNNNNNNNNNNNNNNNNNNNNNNNNNNNNNNNNNNNNNNNNNNNNNNNNNNNNNNNNNNNNNNNNNNNNNNNNNNNNNNNNNNNNNNNNNNNNNNNNNNNNNNNNNNNNNNNNNNNNNNNNNNNNNNNNNNNNNNNNNNNNNNNNNNNNNNNNNNNNNNNNNNNNNNNNNNNNNNNNNNNNNNNNNNNNNNNNNNNNNNNNNNNNNNNNNNNNNNNNNNNNNNNNNNNNNNNNNNNNNNNNNNNNNNNNNNNNNNNNNNNNNNNNNNNNNNNNNNNNNNNNNNNNNNNNNNNNNNNNNNNNNNNNNNNNNNNNNNNNNNNNNNNNNNNNNNNNNNNNNNNNNNNNNNNNNNNNNNNNNNNNNNNNNNNNNNNNNNNNNNNNNNNNNNNNNNNNNNNNNNNNNNNNNNNNNNNNNNNNNNNNNNNNNNNNNNNNNNNNNNNNNNNNNNNNNNNNNNNNNNNNNNNNNNNNNNNNNNNNNNNNNNNNNNNNNNNNNNNNNNNNNNNNNNNNNNNNNNNNNNNNNNNNNNNNNNNNNNNNNNNNNNNNNNNNNNNNNNNNNNNNNNNNNNNNNNNNNNNNNNNNNNNNNNNNNNNNNNNCUUGGUGAUGAUUCUGUGUUGAAUGACUUAUUGCAUGUUUGCUUAUUUAAGCAUGUUGUAGCAUGUAAAUUUGAUGCAAGUAAGGUUUAUUCACCAAUGUUGGGAUGGUUUAAUGAUGAACAUUGUCAAUCUUUUGAAAUGAAUAAGAGCUUCACUUAUAUGUGCAAACUGAGUUGCAAUAUUUUCAUGCCUUCUACUUCUUGUGCUAAUUUUUUGGCUUUAGGUUUUAUGAACUAUGCAAGUUACUCAUCUAUUCAUGUGUCAUAUAUGCAAAAAUCAAGGGAAGUAAAAAUGGAUGACAUAUACAUAUACAACAUGUACACCUUGUCUCUUUUGUUAGCCACAUUUCAGAUUAAGCAACGCCGAGGACGGCUUUAUUUUCAAGAAGGGGAGGAUGAUGAGGACAUGACUACCUUGGAUAUGACCAAAAAUAUUGCAUAUAUGCAUAUUUGUUAGGUGAUUUCUAGUGCAAACUAUUCAAUAAUCUAUUUAUGUUAUCCAGAACAAAAAUAUACUUCACACACUUUUGUGUUUUGUCUAAUUGCAGGUGUAUGGGACAUUUGUACAAUCCACAUAUGAAGAUAAGGAAGAAAGAGAUGUUUAUUUUCUGUCCAAAAAGUUCUCUCACGUCACUUUUGGCCCAAGAGAAGAUAGAGUCCAAGUCUCUCACGUUCUGGAUUCAGAUUCGGACUGCACAGACACACCUGACUCAAAACGCACACAAGUUUUUCAUACAGACUCCGAAUUGGGUGAUUCUUUUUUUGUUGGAAACUAGAUUUCGUGCACUUUCCAACCCAAUUGGAAUUACCAUCAAAUUCGUCCGGAGCGUUGAGUUGUGGACGAAACAAUCUGAUGCUGCAGCAGAAUCCGAGUCAAACUACAAGUCCAAAGGUGUUACAUCACCUCCACUUGGGCCCAUUGGCCUUGUACGACCUAGAUUUAGUUUUAGGCUGCCUUGGGACGUCCUCCCACCUCCUUGGCCGCCACCCCUUGCUCCUAUAUAAGUAGAUCCAUCUAGUAGCUUUUCCUUGGGAUUUGUUUAGUUAAAAGUUAGCCAUUGCAACUUCGUGUACUUCGUUUGUGUCCAACGACCAGACCAAGACCGCUUACGGAUCCCCACCAUUAUCAAUACCUCAUAUAUAUUUGCAAUAUUCAGAUUGCUUUAUCAUAUUCUUGCUCGUUCUUCGAUUGCUUGCAGGAAUAGACCUUCGUGGUCAGGCUGACCGUGCUUCCGGCAUCGUCAGUAACCUCAGGAGAUUGGUUUUGCGAUUGCUAAGGCGCAACGUCGUGCAUGUUUGUAGUCGGAUCGUCAAAGUCGUCUCCACCAAAUCGAUAGUUAUCAUCUCAUCGAAAGAUCGGGACACCCUCGCCUCUAUCACGUGGUAUUCGGAUCGUCGGAGAACUAUCGGUCCGAAGAAAUAACCUUUCAAGUGGCCCCUUUUAGCAGCGGAUAUCAUGCCCUGUUGGGGCGGGAUGCUUUUACACGCUUCCAAGCUAUACCUCACUAUUGAUAUAUGAAGCUCAAAAUUCCCGGACCAAACGGUAUAAUCACUCUCGUCAGUGAUCCAGACAUAGCACUCCGCGCUGAAAACAAAACUGCAUCCCUGGCCUUAGAGGCGCUAUCCGAAGCCCUCGCCGCCGGAGAAUUAACCGCACUACGCUCCACAGUGGACAGGGACGAUGUGAUCCUCGAGAAACGCUCCAAAUCCACCUCGUUCAAACCAGCAAAAGAAAUAAUCAAAUUCUAGGUCCACCCAACAGACCCCAAGAAGACAUCUUCCAUCGGAGCUCAACUGAACCCAACAGUUGACGCCACACUACGAGAAUUCCUGCGUGAAAACUGGGACAUAUUUGCUUGCCACCCUUCGGAUAUGCCAGGGAUCCCACGCAAGCUGGCCGAACAUAGCCUCAAUAUAUUAAAGGGGUUUAAACCGGUUAAGCAAACACUGCGGCGCUUUUCUGAACCCAAGCGACAAGCCAUGGGGAAGGAGCUGGCCAAACUCAUCGAGGCCGGAUUCAUUAGAGAAAUCAAACAUCCGAACUGGCUGGUAAACCUGGUGAUGGUAUCAAAAAAGGACAAAUCCUGGCGCAUGUGCGUCGAUUUGAAAGACCUCAACACAGCCUGCCCUAAGGAUCCCUUCCGCCUCCCCUGCAUUGAUCAAAUCAUUGACGCCACUGCAGGACACGACUCACUGUGUUUCCUCGAUGCAUACUCCGGAUACCAUCAAAUCAAAAUGAAGGAAUCCGAUCAAGCUGCAACAACAUUUAUUACCCCAUACGGGCCAUUCUGCUUUAAUACCAUGUCCUUUGGGCUCAAGAACGUCGGCGCCACAUAUCAACGCAUGAUUCAAAUAUGCCUAGAGAAAUAGAUUGGCAAAACAGUAGAAGCUUACGGUGAUGAUGUCUUCAUCAAAACCAGGCACGUGGAAACACUAAUAGACGACUUACGUCUUACAUUCGACAACCUCAGGGCAUAUGACAUCAAGCUCAACCCGGAAAAGUGUGUCUUCGGCGUCCCCACUAGAAAACUGCUGGGCUUCAUCGUCUCCAAUAGGGGAAUCAAAGCAAACCUAGCCAAAAUCCGAGCUUUGUCACAAUUGGCUAAGCCAACAGACCUUAAAAAAGUUCAAAAACUUGCAGGUUGCGUGGCAGCUCUAAGCCGCUUUAUCUCCAGAUUAGGAGAAAAGGCACUGCCACUCUAUCGCCUUCUACGAUGAACCGACCACUUCGAGUGGAUAGACGAGACAACAGCCGGACUGGAAGAAAUAAAAACCGUGCUUGCAAGAAAUCCAAUACUAGCCGCACCAAAUGCCGGCGAACCGAUGUUAUUAUACAUAUCGGCAACACAUCAGGUGGUGAGCGCCGUACUCGUCGUUGAACGAGAACAGGACGGACAUAAAUUCCCUCUUCAGAAGCCAGUAUACUACAUAUCUACUGUCCUUACACCAUGCAAAUCCCGGUACCCUCAUGAUCAAAAAAUAGCAUACGCGGUCUUCAUGGCAUCCCGAAAGCUCCGUCACUACUUCCAGGAGUGUUCGAUCACGGUGGCCUCUGAAGUACCACUCAACCUCAA
rnacentral:lncRNA from 1 species